rnacentral:lncRNA from 1 species
GUGUUGAUGUCAGUGUGAAGUCCAUAUUCUAGAGUGUCGUGGAUGUGUUGGCCCCCGCCUACGGGCUGUUUAUGAAACCUAUACUUGGUUGGUUGGUCCUCUAGUGACUUUGUUUUGCUGUUUCUUCUGUUUGUUUUUCUCUAUAAGCAAGUCUUGUUGUUAGUUGUUGUACCCAGAGUGUAGCCAAUCACCAUAUUUGGGCAUAUUAAACAUGUUGUUUCGGUCUGAAAUUUCAGCAUGGCCUUCUUAUAAGAGUACGACGGCACUUCCACGAGCAGUAGCCGGAGGAGGGGGAAAACAGAGGGGAUGGUCUGUGAGGUCACAUCCAGGGAUCACAAAGCUGUCGGUUCGCGAGACGACGUGAAGAGCAUCUCUGGGCUUGGGUAUGUUUGCAUUGGUAUGAAAAGUCUGGGCUAAUUAAGUCGCCAAUUACAGCUCCAACGAUGAUCGCUGGAACAUCAUACUACUCCUACUCCACAUAGUUAUUUAGACUACCCUGAAUCACCAACUGGGCAAGAGAACAUGUGGCCAUCUUCGUCUUUGUCCUGUAGUGGCUGAUCUCACCUAUUGCAAACCAUGUUCUGAUGUGAAACUUCGGGUCUUUGAUGGUAGUAGAAACUGGUGUUAUUCAUCACCAUGGCUAGCCGAUGCUCGUACGGCCUCCCUUCCAUGACUGCUAUCGCUUCUCAUGCUGGCUCGCCAACUAGGGUAUGGUUGGUUGAUGAAAGAAAAACUCUAUCACACACCAAAUUUAGAUCCCGCUUUCUUAUAUAUGUGCAAAUUUUUUGGUACAACCAUGCUCCACAUCGAACUCUAUCUUAUUUUUCCAGAGUGGAGGAAGGGGACACUUUGUGGGACUUUCAGUAGAAAAUUGUCCAUACAGAUAGAAGCACCUAUUAAAAAGAUACUCCAAAGGCUUCCGGAUCAUAGUCUCAUUAGCUGAAGAACACCCAUGCUAAUCUAUAUUAAGUGCAUUCAAAUCAUGCCUUUAUUAACUAGUCCAAGGCCUCAUCAGCCACAACAUCAUAAAUACAAAGAGGAAAAAUAUGAAACCAAGUUUUACACAAAUUAUUGGGGCAACCUUCCCUUGCCAUGAUGGAAUUAGCCCUAUUAGUUGUUCUUCUAUUCCACUUCACCCGAUGCUCUUCUAAAGCAAAUAACAAGUCCAUUAUGUNNNNNNNNNNNNNNNNNNNNNNNNNNNNNNNNNNNNNNNNNNNNNNNNNNNNNNNNNNNNNNNNNNNNNNNNNNNNNNNNNNNNNNNNNNNNNNNNNNNNNNNNNNNNNNNNNNNNNNNNNNNNNNNNNNNNNNNNNNNNNNNNNNNNNNNNNNNNNNNNNNNNNNNNNNNNNNNNNNNNNNNNNNNNNNNNNNNNNNNNNNNNNNNNNNNGUUAGUCUACAGAGUUCAGCGUUAUAGCCACACCCUGAUUGUCAUUAAUGAAUACAAUUGUUUGGUCAAAUAUGUUGUUUGAGAGUAGUUCAUGAUGGCCUUUCUAGUUGGAGAGAAUAAUUCUUUCCUUGAUGAUUUCUCUUACAAAGAUCAAGCAUAUAUAUCGAGGGAGAGAGAACCCACUCCCCUGGAACGUAGGCAUGCAGGCCAUGAGAACUAGGAGAUCCUAACAAUGGUGCAUAGACGUCCUGCACAAACGGUUCUCCGUGUUAUGGCAGGUUACAUUCUCAUGUUUUUUACUUUACAGUGCUUACAAGUUGAGAUUUGAAAAAAUCUAGCCUAGAACAUAAGUCAUCAAAACUCAUGGCAUUUUGAAACUUUAGUCAUAAAAAGAUAUCAAAUAUCAGACACAAAAAGGGAGUGCUAGACAAAAACGCAAAAAGAAUGAAAAUAAAGAAGUGGCACAAUAGUUACCGAGCGUUGAUAUGUCUCCAACGUAUCUAUAUUUUUUAUUGUUCCAUAAUAUUAUAGCCCGACAGCCCCAUCCUCUACUCCAUCGAUGCGUCCACUGGGCGAGAUCGGUGGUGUGCCAUCUGAGGGAGUCCCGGAUUAGGGGGUGUUCGGAUGACCUGACUAUGACCUUUGGCCGGACUCCUGGGCUAUGAAGAUACAAGAUUGAAGACUUCGUCCCGUGUCCGGAUGGGACUUUCCUUGGCGUGGAACGCAAGCUUGGCGCGGAUAUGUAGAUCUUCUCCCAUUGUAACCGACUAUGUGUAACCCUAGCCCUCUCCAGUGUCUAUAUAAACCGGAGGGUUUUAGUCCGUAGGACGAACAACAAUCAUACCAUAGGCUAGCUUCUAGGGUUUAGCCUCUCUGAUCUCGUGGUAGAUCUACUCUUGUACUACCCAUAUCAUCAAUAUUAAUCAAGCAGGAGUAGGGUUUUACCUCCAUCGAGAGGGCCCGAACCUGGGUAAAAACAUCAUGUCCCUUGUCUUCUGUUACCAUCCGCCUAGACGCACAGUUCGGGACCCCCUACCCGAGAUCCGCCGGUUUUGACACUGACAUUGGUGCUUUCAUUGAGAGUUACUCUGUGUCAUCAUCUUUAGGCCCGAUGGCUCCUCCGAUAAUCAACAACGAAGCGGUCCAGGGUGAGACUUUUCUCCCUGGACAGAUCUUCGUAUUCGGCGGCUUUGCGCUGCGGGUCAAUUCGCUUGGCCAUCUGGAGCAGAUCGAAAGCUACGCACCUGGCCAUCAGGUCAGAUUUGGAAGUUUAAACUACACGACCGACAUCCGCGGAGACUUGAUCUUCGACGGAUUCGAGCCACAGCCGGGCGCGCCGCACUGUCACGAUGGGCAUGAUGUAACUCUGCCACCGAACAGUGUCCAGGAGGCCGCCCCAGCGUCCGCUCCGACCCUUAGCUCGAAGCCGACUACGCCAAUCGAGGACGGGUGGCUGGACACCGCCUCGGGGGCUGCAAUCCCUACGGCGAUCGAGCCGAAUACCAGCCUUGUCCUUUACGAAGCUCGUGACUCCCAGGUGCCGGACUCCUUUCCAGACUCCAAACCUUCCGCGCCCCUGCCGAUCGAACCCGAUUGGGCGCCGAUCAUGGAGUUUGCUGCCGCAGACAUCUUUCAGCACUCGCCCUUCGGCGACAUUCUGAAUUCACUAAAGUCUCUCUCUUUAUCAGGAGAGCCCUGGCCGGACUAUGGUCAGCGAGGUUGGGAUGCGGACGACAAAGAAAUUCAAAUCCCACCCAUCACCCACUUCAUAGCUACUGUCGAUGAUUUAACCAACAUGCUCGACUUCGACUCCGAAGACAUCGACGGUAUGGAUGCUGAUGCAGGAGACGACGAAGAACCAGUGCCUAUAGGGCACUGGAAGGCCACCUCAUCAUAUGACAUAUACAUGGUGGACACCCCAAAAGAAGGGAAUGGCGAUGGAACAACGGAGGUUGACCCCUCCAAGAAGCAGCCUAAGCGCCGGCAUCAGCGGCGCCGCUCUAAAUCCCGCCCAAGCAAAAACGAUGAUUUCGGCACGGGAGAUAAUAACACCCCGGACAGUGCCGAAGACAACCCCCUCCAGCAGGAUUCAGCACAGGAGGAUGGAGAAGCCAGCCCUCAUGAGAGAGCGGCAGACAGAGAGGUAGAGGACGAUAAUCACAUGCCACCCUCCGAAGACGAGGCAAGCCUCGACGACGACGAAUUUAUUGUGCCUGAGGAUCCCGUCGAACAAGAGCGUUUCAAACGCAGGCUUAUGGCCACGGCGAGCAGCCUCAAGAAAAAACAGCAGCAGCUUAGAGCUGACCAAGACUUGCUACCCGACAGAUGGACUGAAGUCCUUGCAGCCGAAGAGUACGAACUCAAACGCCCCUCCAAGAGCUACCCAAAGCGUAGGCUGCUAUACCAAUUAGAGGAGGAAGCACCUAAACCUACAUCACCAGCGCACGACGCGGCAGACCGGCCACCUCGUGGCCACGACAGAGAGGCCUCUUGGCCAUCCUCUCAAGCCGCACCCCGGCGUUGCUCAAAAAAUACCAAGGCACGGGGAAAGGCGCCAGACCUGCGAGAUAUAUUGGAGGACAAGGCAAGGCAAACAAGGUCGAUCUCCGGAUCGCGUGGGCGCCCCACGACACGUAACGAUAACCGUCAUGCCGGAUAUGGCAAAUACGGCCAGGCCAAACACAGCAGACAAAGCUCAUUUGAGCUACGACGUGAUAUAGCCCAGUACAGAGGCGCCGCACACCCACUAUGCUUCACAGAUGAAGUAAUGGAUCAUCAAAUCCCCUAGGGUUUUAAACCCGUAAACAUCGAAUCAUACGAUGGCACAACAGAUCCUGCGGUAUGGAUCGAGGACUAUCUCCUUCAUAUCCACAUGGCCCGCGGUGAUGACCUACACGCUAUCAAAUACCUCCCAAUCAAGCUUAAAGGACCAGCUCGGCAUUGGCUCAACAGCUUGCCAAUAGAGUCAAUUGGUUGCUGGGAGGACCUGGAAGCCGCAUUCCUCGACAAUUUCCAGGGCACCUAUGUGCGACCACCAGACGCCGAUGACCUAAGCCACAUCAUUCAGUAGCCAGAGGAAUCGGCCAGACAAUUCUGGACACGGUUCUUAACCAAGAAAAAUCAAAUAGUCGACUGUCCGGACGUAGAGGCCCUCACAACCUUCAAACAUAGCAUCCGUGACGAAUGGCUUGCCCGGCACCUAGGACAGGAAAAGCCGAAAUCCAUGGCAGCCCUCACAACACUCAUGACCUGCUUUUGCGCGGGAGAAGACAACUGGCUAGCUCGUAGUAAUAACAUGACCAAGAGCCCUGGUAAUUCGGAUACCAAGGACAACAAUGGCAGGUCGCGUCGCAACAAAUACAAGCGCCGCAUUAAUGGCGACAAUACUGAGGAUACGACAGUCAAUGCCGGAUUCCGAGGCUCCAAACCCGGUCAGCGGAAAAAGCCAUUCAAAACAAGUACUCCGGGCCCGUCCAAUUUGGACCGAAUACUCGAUCGCUUGUGCCAGAUACACGGCACCCCCGAAAAACCAGCCAAUCACACCAACAGGGAUUGUUGGGUGUUCAAGGAGGCAGUCAAGUUAAGCGCCGAAAACAAAGACAAGGGGCUGCAUAGCAAUGACGAGGAGGAGCCCCGACCGCCGAACAAUAGGGGACAGAAGGGCUUUCCCCCACAAGUGCGGACGGUGAACAUGAUAUACGCAACCCACAUCCCCAAAAGGGAACGGAAGCGUGCACUCAGGGACGUAUAUGCGUUGGAGCCAGUUGCCCCAAAGUUCAACCCAUGGUCCUCCUGCCCGAUCACUUUUGAUCGAAGGGACCACCCCACUAGCAUCCGCCACGGCGGAUUCACCGCGUUGGUUCUAGACCCAAUCAUUGACGGAUUUCACCUCACUAGAGUCCUUAUGGACGGCGGCAGCAGCCUGAACCUGCUUUAUCAGGAUACAGUGCGAGAAAUGGGCAUAGAUCCCUCAAGGAUUAAACCCACAAAGACGACCUUUAAAGGCGUCAUACCAGGUGUAGAGGCCCACUGUACAGGCUCAGUUACACUCGAAGUGGUCUUCGGAUCCCCGGAUAAUUUCCGAAGCGAGGAGUUAAUCUUCGACAUAGUCCCGUUCCGCAACGGCUAUCACGCGCUGCUUGGACGAACCGCAUUUGCAAAGUUCAAUGCGGUGCCGCACUACACAUAGCUCAAGCUCAAGAUGCCAGGCCCUCGAGGAGUCAUUACGGUUAAUGGAAACACCGAACGCUCUCUCCGAACGGAGGAGCAUACGGCGGUCCUCGCGGUGGAAGUACAAAGUAGCCUCUCAAGGCAAUUCUCCAGUCCAGCUAUUAAACGUCCAGACACCGUCAAGCGCGCCCGGAGUAACCUACAGCAAGACCACCUGGCACGUUCCAAACAAGUGUAGCAGUGCGGCCCCGACCCCAGCCCUCGCGAAAUUGCGAAACCAGUACCACGCGUACAUAAUUACGCUCUGGAAAUAUCAUGGGCAUAGGGGGAGGGGCACAACCAUGGCACGCCCAAAAUGCGGCUCAACCGCACUAGGGGCUCCCAAUUUUGUCAUUUAUUUUUUCUUACUUUGAGGACUCCAUUCUCCGGAAGGCCUGUCCGACAGUACAAUCGCCGAACACACGAUGCAACAGCCAGGGAGGCAGCAAGCUACGUCAAAUAUCCAGGUGGUCUCUAUAACGAGCUAAAUACAUGUCUUACAUAAAGUCUCGCAGCUUGCCCUUGGAGGGGGACAUGUCAAAUAAUCACAUCUCUUGCUUAUCGCACUAUUUGUAUCGUUCUGCUUUCACAGCAACCUUUUAAUAUACAAUGCAUAGCUCUUGUCUAUUAUUGCAUUCAUUUUUUAUGUAAAUAUGUUCAGUCAUGACAUUAUGCAACCGUACACUUUGGUACGGCCAACACACCAGGGGCUUAAGUACUCCAGAAUAUGGUGUGAGAAGUCCGAACACUCUCACGAGUGCGGCACCCCGAACUUAUAGCAUUAUAUGCAUCGGCUCUGAAUCAUGUCUUGGGUCAAUAGUUGGGUUUGCCCGGCUCCCAUGUUUUGGUACCUUACGUUCCGUUAUAUCGGCUAAGGUAGCGCUGGGAGAACUACUGCAAUUGUGCCCCAGUUGAGCUGGGUUAAGCACCUCAGUAGACAAAGCUAAAACUGACCGUCAUGAUAGGGCGAGAGCCGGUCGCUGUUCGAGAGGUUUCGAGUCCCUAAACACUUAUGCCGCUUAGAGCGAGGAGCUGGCUUUGUCCGGCCUAGGCGUGGAUAGCGCCCCAAACUCGGUCUUCCGAAUACUAGGGGCUUCGCCGAAAUUUAAAAUUGUAGAAUUCUGUGGCUAAGUGAGAGUGAUAAAGCAUUACAGUCCGAUUGCCUUGUUCGUUGUGCUGAGCGCCUCCCUCGAAGGACCCAAUAAUGGGAACAAGAGCGCUCAGGUUUAUCCCGAACACCCCAGCACUCGUGGCAUGGGGGUAGAAGCCGACGACUCGCCAUCUCUCAGAUUUGAUAAAUGGCCGCACAAAAGGUAAUAUUGUAAAUUCAAAAAGCAUUGCUUAGUGCAUAUGAACAAGUCAUCAGCACACAGGAUAACACGAGCGAGUUUACUCAAAUAUUACAUAUUUGGAACAUUCAUUCGCCACAAGGAGGGCACCCUUCAAGAUGCCCUCAUAAUACAUCUCGGGCAUGCGAUGCUCCUUCCCCUCCGGUGGCCCAUCUGUCACCAGCUUCUCAGCAUCCAGCUUGCCCCAGUGUACUUUAGCACGGGCAAGGGCCCUACGGGAGCCUUCGAUGCAUACGGAGCGCUUGAUGACUUCAAGCCGUGGACAGGCAUCCACCAGCCGCCUCACCAGCCCAAAGUAGCUCCCGGGCAUGACCCCCCCAGGCCAUAGCCGGACUAUUAGGCCCUUCAGGGCCUGUUCGGCUACCUUAUGGAGCUCGACCAACUACUUCAGCUGGUCGCUCAAGGGCAUCGGGUGUCCAGCCUCAACAUACUGGGACCAGAACACCUUGUCCGUCGAGCUCCUUUCCUCGGCUCGGUAGAAUGCGGCAGCGUUGGACACACUGCGGGGCAGAUCUGCGAAUGCUCCUGGAGAGCUCCAGACUCGGGUAAGUAACAAGUAAUUCACUUUCACGUGCUUGCUUUGCAUAAAGAAUGUCUUACCUGCCGCUAUCUUCUUCAUCGCCUCAAUUUCCUGGAGGGCUUUUUGGGCUUCGGCCUUGGCAGAUUUGGCGCUUUCAAGAGCCGAGGCAAGCUCGGACUCUCGAGUCUUUGAGUCAAGCUCCAAACUCUCGUGUUUUUUCACAAGAGCGUGGAGCUCUUGCUGCACCUCCUCCACUCGCGCUCCUACUUUUCUUGCUCGAUGCGCACCAUGGCCGCAUUGUCUUCGGCCUUGGACAGCGCUUCCUUCAGGGUCGCCACCUCGGUUGUGGCCCCUAUAACACUCACGUUGGUCCUGUCACUAUUUGCAACCAGGUAUUUUUAUAUACUUACAUAAGGUACUACUUACCUUCCUUGUCCUCAAGCUGCUUCUUGGCAAGGCCGAGCUCGUUCUCGGACCGCUCGAGGCUCUUCUUCAAUGCAUCGACCUCCGCAGUCAGUGCGGUAGAGGUCAGCAGCGCAGCCUGCAUUCCCAUCUUGACAUAUUUAUCUUAGAGUCCUGCAUAUAUCUUUUUAGAUCCUCAGUCUGGAUUUUCUUUCCGAACACCAAACUGAGCAUCAGGGGCUAAUGUCUAUGCGGUAAUAUUUUUACAUGUCUUAAAUACAUACCUCAAAGCCUGUUAGAAUGCUGGCACAGGCUUCUGUCAGCCCGCUCUUGGCGGACUGAACCUUCUGGAUCACCACACUCAUAAUAGUGAGGUGCUCCUCGUCGAUGGAGGCGCCGUUAAGCACCUCCAGCAAAUUGUCCGGUGCCUCCGGUUGGAUGGAGGACACCGGCGUCGUAGGCUUGCCCUUCUUACGAGGGGGCCGCCUGCCGGACUCCGGAACCACUGAGGGUUCCGGUGCGGUGUCCGGCCCAUGGCCGGACUUAGAUCCCUCUGGGGUUUCAUCCCCUUUGCGCCUGGAGCCCGGGAGGUCGCCUUGCGGCGCCUCCAGGACCACCCCCUCCUGGCUUAGCCCCUUUUGGGACUUCACCUCGGCAUCGUCCGCGGGGUGAGGGGAGGUAGCAGUCGGGAGUGAAAGACUAUUCACAUCCGACGAAUCCAGGGAGCCGCUCGAUGAAGCAUCGAGCUGGGCCUUGGGCGGACUACAUGAUUAUAUUCGGCGUCAGAAGAUACGGUGCAAUAAAGGAACACCAUGAUUUAUUCUGGUAUCCGGAUACUUACGAUUUUGCCAGGGGCUUGGCCCUGGACGGCCACUCCUCUCCGCCUUCAUUGGCGCUGGUGGAGUAGUCCGGAAGAAGGGUCUUUCUCUUCUUGGACCCUCCGGCCUUCCCAGUUUGGGCGGCCUUCCUUUUCUUUCCUCCCCCCGUUGGAGGGGGACAGGCUUCUUCUUCCUCCUCCUCGUUUUCGGGGGAGGAGUGCGCUUCGGGGUCGUCAGGCGAUGAAUCCGACACCACCAGGCGCCAGGAACUCUUUCGAGUUCCCGUGGACUUAUUCUUGGCCUUCUUCUUCGGCACCAUGUGAGGUGUCGGGACCAGCAGCUUCGCCAAGCGUGCGUCUACUAGGCCUUCGGGCAAAGGAGCCGGACAGUCAAUCUGUCCGGACGUCUUCUUCCAGUCAUGUCAAAGGAGCGGGAGCUUAGAUCCCGCGUAGAGUCAAACUAUUAAAAACAAGUAUCCUGUAAAGGGUAAAACAAGCUUACUGCGCUGGCUUGGCGCUUCGCGCAGAAUCCGCGAUCCUCGGUAAUGGGAGGGGAAACCUCGGAGCCCUUGAAUAGCACCUUCCAGGCGUCUUCGUGCGUUGUGUCAAAGAGCCUGGACAAAGUUUGAUGUUGGGCCGGGUCGAACUCCCACAAGUUAAAAGCCCGUCGUUGACACGGGAGGAUCCGGCGGAAGAGCAUGACCUGGACUACGUUGACAAGUUUAACCUUCUUGUCCACCAGGUUUUGGACCCAGGUUUGGAGUCCGAUCACCUCUUCCCCCACGACAGGCCCAUCCCUUUCCAGGAGGUGAGACAUGUGGGGAUGCCAGAUUGGAAUUCGGGGGCCGCUGCCCAUUCAGGGUCACGCGGCUCGGUGAUGUAGAACCACCCCGAUUGCCACCCUUUGAUGGUUUCCACAAAGGAGCCCUCGAGCCAUGUGACGUUGGGCAUCUUGCCCACCAUGGAGCCUCCGCACUCCGCUUGCCGGCUGCCCACAACCUUCGGCUUGACAUUGAAGGUCUUCAGCCAUAAGCCGAAGUGGGGCUUGAUGCGGAGGAAGACCUCGCACACGACGAUAAACGCUGAGAUGUUAAGGAUGAAGUUCGGGGCCAGAUCGUGGAAAUCCAGGCCGUAGUAGAACAUGAGCCCCCGAACAAAUAGGUGGAGUGGGAAACCCAGUCCGCGAAGGAAAUGGGGGAGGAACACCACCCUCUCAUGGGGCCUGGGGGUGGGGAUGAGCUGCCCCUCGUCUGGAAGCUGGUGCGCAAUGUCGUUGGACAAGUAUCCGGCCUUCCUCAACUUUUUGAUGUGCCCCUCCGUGACGAAGGAGGCGAUCCACCGGCCUCCCGCUCCGGACAUGGCUGGAGAAGGUCGAGGUGGGAAGUGCGGACUUGGGCGCUAGAGCUCGAGUGCGCGGAAAUGGAUAAGCGAAGGAGGAAGAGGGCGUGGAUGGAAAAGGUGGAUCCUUAUCCCCUUAUAUGAGCGGACGAAACUGUGUGCCCCCACCAGCCUGGUAAAACUCUCUUAUCUCCCAAGUGCCGUGAUUAAUGGCACGGUUGGGUUACCCACGCCCGUAUUGAUGAGAAUCCCGGAAUAAGGGGACAUGAUCUCUGCUUUGACAAGACGUGCCAAGGAAACCGCCUCGCUGAACGCGCUGAGGUGGGACAAUAAAACGAUUCGAAUGAAGGCUUGGCCGUCGGAUGAUGUCACGCUACGGAAUACGUCAGCAGAUUAGAUUUGUACAAACAUUAUUCUCUCUACGCUGGUAUGUGGAACUUAUUUUGCAGAACCGGACACUAUCCUUGUGUUCAAAAUCUUCUAUGAAGUAUUCGGAGGAGGAACCCGCCUUGCAAUGCCGAAGACAAUUUGCACGCCGGACUCGUCGUCAUUGAAGCCUAGUUCAGGGGCUACUGAGGGAGUCCCGGAUUAGGGGGUGUCCGGAUGACCAAACUAUAACCUUUCGCCGGACUCCUGGGCUAUGAAGAUACAAGAUUGAAGACUUUGUCCCAUGUCCGGAUGGGACUUUCCUUGGUGUGGAAGGCAAGCUUGGCGAUACGGAUAUGUAGAUCUCCUCCCAUUGUAACCGACUCUGUGUAACCCUAGCCCUCUCUGGUGUCUAUAUAAACCAGAGGGUUUUAGUCCGUAGGACGAACAACAAUCAUACCAUAGGCUAGCUUCUAGGGUUUAGCCUCUCUGAUCUCGUGGUAGAUCUACUCUUGUACUACCCAUAUCAUCAAUAUUAAUCAAGCAGGAGUAGGGUUUUACCUCCAUCGAGAGGGCCCAAACCUGGGUAAAAACAUCGUGUCCCUUGUCUCCUGUUACCAUCCGCCUAGAUGCACAGUUCGGGACCCCCUACCAGAGAUCCGCCGGUUUUGACACCGACACCAUCCUCACAUUAGGGGGUUCAACCCCCCAUCUCAACUGCGAUUCCUGGAUCAUCAGGGACACCUCCUCUCCACUCCAUCUCCCACAUGAUGGCCACUCUAGCACUAGAUACUUAAUGAGUGAUGGUGGUUCACAUUUUAUUCAUGGUGUUUUUCGUAAAAUGCUUGCUAAGUAUGAUGUUAAUCAUAAAAUUGCAUCUCCAUACCAUCCACAGUCUAGCGGUCAAGUAGAAUUGAGUAAUAGAGAGAUUAAAUUGAUCUUGCAAAAGACUGUUAAUAGAUCUAGAAAGAAUUGGUCCAAGAAACUUGAUGAUGCAUUAUAGGCCUAUAGAACUGCAUAUAAAAAUCCUAUGGGUAUGUCUCCGUAUAAAAUGGUUUAUGGAAAGGCAUGUCACUUACCUCUCGAACUAGAACAUAUGGCAUAUUGGGCCACUAAAGAGCUCAAUUAUGAUUUCAAACAUGCUGGUGAGAAGAGGCUUUUUGACAUUAUCUCACUUGGUGAAUGGGGAACCCAUGCCUAUGAGAACGCCAAACUAUUUAAGAAAAAGUUAAAAGGUGGCAUGACAAAAAGAUACAAACGCGGGAGCUUAAUGUAGGUGAUUAUGUUUUGCUAUACAACUCUCGUUUAAGAUUUUUUGCAGGAAAACUUCUCUCUAAAUGGGAAGGUCCUUACGUUAUCGAGGAGGUCUAUCGUUCCGGUGCCAUCAAAAUCAACAACGCUGAAGGCACAAAUCCGAAGGUGGUGAACGGUCAAAGAAUCAAACAUCAUAUCUUAGGUAAUCCCAUAAAUGUUGAAACCAAUGUUAUUGACACCGUAACCCCGGAGGACUACAUAAGGGACACUUCCCAAAAUGUUUCAGACUCCAAAAGGAAUAGGUAUGUGGUACGGUAAGUAAACUGACUCCAAAACAAUUAUAAUAGCAAAUUUUCUCUGUUUUGGAAUAUUUAAAAAAUUAGGAAAAUAAGAAGUAGUCCGAAGGAGACACGAGGCAUCCACGAGGGUGGAGGGCGUGCCCUACCCCCUGGGCGCGCCCCCUGCCUCGUGGACACCUCGUGUGCCCUCCGGAUUCCGUUUUCUUGCACGAUACUUCUUUUUGUCGGUAAAAAUUCAUUAUAUAAUCUCCCAAAGGUUUUGACCAUCGAACCAUGACAAAAUCAUCUGCUUUUGUUUCGAGCUGUUUUUCUGACAGAUCUAGAUCACCAUGACGUCUUCAAGCGCCCCCAAGGACAUGUUUUCAAGUGCCAAGGGAUGGUGGAACACGGACUCAACGCCAACCACAUGAUGGUCGCGGAGUUCACCAACAACCACAAGUUGGAUGCCAAGAACAUUGGGGAGACCAUCUUCAAGCUUCAUGAGAAAAUCGAGCACCUCCAAGCCUAGAUCUAUGACUUGCAAAACCAAAACUGUGAGUAUGAAUAUAGAUUCAAGAGGAUGAGUUUGGCUGCAGAUUUGAGGAUCCCGGAGACUCAAUCAUCCUUCUAUGAUGGUGAGCCUAUGCCCUGGAAGAUGGACCACAAGCCUACAUCAUCAACAACUCCAGCAUCACCACCCCAAGAAAGAGACAUAAACACAUGGGUAUGGGAACUCCCCUUGGCAACUACUAAGCUUGGGGGAGCUGCCCCGGUAUCGUAUCACCAUCACAUUUCUAUCUUUACCGUUUUUCUUAGUUCGGUCCUUUUGGUUAUAUCUUGAUCUAGUAGAAUAAAGUUUUAGUUCGAUCUAGCUUUGAUUUUUGUGUUGAUACCUAUCUAUGUAAUCGAUUCCAUGAGCUAUAUAUAAUAAAGAUUAGUUUUGAGUUGAGGGCUUUGCUAUCUUGCUAUGAUAUUGAGGGAAUAAAAGAAAAAGAAAGAAUAAAAAUAAAUAAAAAGAUCAUAUUGACCUUUUGGGGAGUAAUGACUUUACACAUAAAGAGUAUGAUGAAUAAAAGUUGUUGAGAGUUGACAAACAUAGUUUUGGUCAUCGUGGCAAUUAAUAGGAAGUAAUAAACAAAGAGAGGUUUUCACAUAUAAAUAUACUAUCAUGGACAUCUUUUAUGAUUGUGAGCACUCAUUAAAAUAUGAGAUGCUAAAAAGUUGAUGUUGGACAAGGAAGACAACAUAAUGAGUUAUGUUUGCUUAUAUCCUAAAUAAAUUAUAUUGUCAUGGAUCAUCCAACAUGUUGAACUUGCCUUUCCCCCUCAUGUUAGCCAAAUUCUUUGAACCAAGUAGAGAUACUACUUGUGCUUACAAACAUCCCUAAACCCAGUUUUGUCAUGAGAGUCCACCAUACCUACCUAUGGAUUGAGUAAGAUCCUUCAAGUAAGUUGUCAUCGGUGCAAGCAAUAAAAAUUUCUCUCUAAAUAUGUAUGAUCUAUUAGUGUGGAGAAAAUAAGCUUUAUACGAGCUUGUGAUACGGAAGAAAUAAAAGCGACGGACUGCAUAAUAAAGGUCCAUAUCACAAGUGGCAACAUUAAGUGACGUUCUUUUGCAUUAAGAUUUUGUGCAUCCAACCAGAAAAGCGCCUAUCUUUUAUUUUUACCUUCUACCCUUAUACAAGAGUCUUGGUGAUCUUCACCUUUCCUUUUUAUACUUUAUCCUUUGGCAAGCUCUGUGUGUUGGAAAGAUCCUGAUAUAUAUAUAUUUAUAUUUAUAUAUAUAUAUAUAUAUAUCCAAUUGGAUGUGGGUUUUCAUAAAGUAUUAUUGUUGACAUUACCCUUGAGGUAAAAGGUUGGGAGGCGAAAGUAUAAGCCCCUACCUUUCUCUCUGUCCGAUUGAAACUUCAUACUCAUAAGUAUCGCGUGAGUGUUAGCAAUUGUGAAAGAUUAAAUGAUAAUUGAGUAUUUGGACUUGCUGAAAAGCUCUUAUAUUGACUCUUUCCGAUGUUAAGAUAAAAUUGCAAUUGCUUCAAUGACUGAGAUUAUAGUUUGCUAGUUUGCAAUGAAGUUUCUGAUUCAUACUUUACAUUGUGAAUAGAUUGUUACUUUAGCAUAAGAAAUCAUAUGAAACUAUAUAUGUUGUUGUUCUAAGAAUGAUCAUGAUGCCCUCAUGUCCGUAUUUUAUUUAAUCGUCACCUCUAUCUCUAAACAUGUGGACAUAUUUUUCGAUAUCGGCAUCCGCUUGAGGACAAGCGAGGUCUAAGCUUGGGGGAGUUGAUACGUCCAUUUUGCAUCAUGCUUUUAUAUCAAUAUUUAUUGCAUUAUGGGCUGUUACUACACAUUAUGUCACAAUACUUAUGCCUUUUCUCUCUUAUUUUACGAGGUUUACAUGAAGAGGGAGAAUGCCGGCAGCUACAUUCUGGGCUGGAAAAGGAGCAAAUAUUAGAGGCCUAUUCUGCACAACUCGAAAAGUCCUGAAACUCCAGGAAAGUCAGUUUUGGAAUAUAUUAAAAAUAUUGGGCGAAGAAAGCACCAGAGGGGGGCCACCCACCGUCCACGAGGGUGGAAGGCGUGCCCUACCCCCUGGUUGCGCCCCCUGCCUCAUGGGCCACCUGGCAGGCCCCCGAUGCCCAUCUUCUCCUAUAUGGUGUCUUUUGCCCUGGAAAAAAAAUCAUAAGGUAGAUUUCGGGACGAAGCGCCGCCGUCUUGAGGCGGAACCUUGGUGGAACCAAUCUAGGGCUCCGGUGGAGCUGUUCGGCCGGGGAAACAUCCCUACGGGAGGGGGAAAUCAUCACCAUCGUCAUCACCAUGGAUCCUCUCAUCGAGAGGGGCCAAUCUCCAUCAACAUCAUCACCAACACCAUUUCCUCUCAAACCCUAGUUCAUCUCUUGUAUCCGAUCUUUGUCUCAAAACCUCAGGUUGGUACGUGUGGGUUGCUAGUAGUGUUGAUUACUCCUUGUAGUUGAUGCUAGUUGGUUUAUUUGGUGGAAAAAUCAUAUGUUCAGAUCCUUUAUGCAUAUUAAUACCCCUAUGAUUAUGAACAUGAAUAUGAUUUGUGAGUAGUUAUUUUUGUUCCUGAGGACAUGGGAGAAGUCUUGUUAUAAGUAGUCAUGUGAAUUUUGUAUUCUUUGAUAUUUUGAUGAGCUGUAUGUUGUCUCUCCUCUAGUGGUGUUAUGUGAACAUCGACUACAUGAUAGUUCACCAUUGUUUGGGCCUAGGGGAAGGCAUUUGGAAGUAAUAAGUAGAUGAUGGGUUGCUAGAGUGAUAGAAGCUUAAACCCUAGUUUAUGCGUUGCUUCAUAAGGGGCUGAUUUGGAUCCAUAUGUUUCAUGCUAUGGUUAGGUUUACCUUAAUUCUUCUUUCAUAGUUGCAGAUGCUUGCGAGAGGGGUUAAUCAUAAGUGGGAUGCUUGUCAAAGGAAGGGCAGUACCCAAGCACUGGUCCAACCACAUAUCAAAUUAUCAAAGUAACGAACGUGAAUCAUAUGAGCAUGAUGAAAACUAGCUUGACGAUGAUUCCCAUGUGUCCUCGGGAGCGCUUUGCUUUAUAUAAGAGUUUGUCCAGGCUUGUACUUUGCUACAAAAAGGAUUGGGCCACCUUGUUGCACCUUGUUACUUUUGUUACUUGUUACCCGUUACGAACUAUCGUAUCACAAAACUAUCUGUUACCAAUAUUUCAGUGCUUGCAGAGAAUACCUUACUGAAAACUGCCUGCCAUUCCUUCUAUUCCUCAUUGGGUUCGACACUCUUACUUAUUGAAAGGACUACGAUAGAUCCCCUAUAGAUGUGGGUCAUCAAAUAGUACAUAACAUAACUUGAGCUUUAGAUUUGGCUCAUUAUCACACUGAUGUCAAAUUUAUCAUUUUUGUAUCUUAAAAAUGUUAUAAACUUUAAUACAAAAUUUUUGUGACAUCAUACAUUGAUGUGCGUUAAUGUGCUAGAUUUUUUUUACUUUUUAAAAUGUUCUAUAGCAUCCGGUGCACCGGUAGCACCAUUACUGCGGGUGCAUAGGAUACAUCCCCGCGAGCGAUCCGUGGAUGGCUUGGUGCGGACGGGCGCGUGCGGUUGCCGAUCCAUAUAUUCCUGAACUCGGAUCUAGACACAAGAUCCUCCGUUGCAUGCCACAUCCAUGGCUCUAGUGAACCAGAUCCGCACAUGUGAUAUGUCUCCAACAUAUUUACUUUUUGUUUUGGCCUCUAAUUUAUAUGAUUUGAAUGAAACUAACCCAAACUAACGCUGUUUUAAGUAGAACUACCUUGAUGUUAUUUUUUGUGUAGAAAUAAAAAUCUCAUAAUUGGACGAAACUUCGUAGAGAUUUUUUAUGGAAUAAAUAAAAAAUACCGGAGCAUCGGCAUCCGUACCAAGAAAAUAAGAGAGAAAGUAAUUUGGGAGCUGCCACCAUCUCUUGUCUUCAUUGGGAGCCCUGAUCUGGAGUCCAUUCCUAGCUCCGGAGAGAGGGAUUCGUCGUGGUUGUAAUCACCAACCCUUCUCCAUCAAUAAUUUCCUGAUUCUCACCACCAAGAGUGUGUAAUCCCUUUCAGGCAUACUAGAGGUAGAGUAAGAUGAAUGAGAUUUCCUAUGUAAUCAUGUCAAUUUGUUAGGGCUUGAUCCCUAGUAUGCACUAUGUUCUGAGAUUGAAGUUGUUAUGACUUUCUUAUACUUAAUGCUUGUCAGUACGGCCCGAGUGUCAUAAUUUCAGAUCUGAACACUUAUGCUUCUAUGAAUAUAUUUGACAUGCUGAUCUUACCUGCAAGUUGUAUACACCUGUUAUCAUUCCAAACCUUAGACUUCCAAGUUGACCAUUGAAAGUGCUAGUUAUCGACUAGAGGGGGGGGUGAAUAGGCAAUUUUUAUAAAAGUCUUCAAAACAUGCAAUGUCUUCGAAAACGCGGAAGAAAAACAAUCACUAAACAGGAUACAUCGGAAUAUAAACCACACUAGACAUGUCGGUAUGUCAACAAAAAUUGACGUAAGAUGCGAAGAUAGAAAACAACUAGGUAGUUCAGAACAAUGAGAAGAUAGUGUGAAGACAAAUAUGUAAUCAGAGGAAAUGUCUUCAUACAAUGUCUUCGAAUAGUAUGAGCACGCAAAGGCAUCACAAAACUAAACAGUAAGUAAAGGAGUGAAGUGAUGGAACCAGUUGCUCAUAGAAGACAUGUGAUUUGUUAGACCAAUUCCAGCUGCUGUGACAGCUAUAUGUCUGGUUAAGGAGGCUGAGAUUGAAAUCUGAAGACUUAGUCUUCACCUUAUUCCCCUUAAGCUAAUAUCCGCAAAUCUCACCCAAUCACUCGGGGAAGUCUUCAAGGUAAACUUCCAAACCUUCACAGACUUCGUUCACUAGCAAUCCACAAUGACUCUUGGAUGCUCAGAAUUUGACACCUAACUGGUUGGAAGAUCACAGUCUUCAAGUGUAACAAGUCUUUGGUUCACGCAGAACAGAAAGGCUUCAGUGAUGCUCAAUCACUUUGGGCUCUGGGUGUUUUGGGUUUGUCCUCGCAAGGAAUUUCUCUCAAGGCUUAAGAGGUGGGUUGCUCUCAAACGAUAACAACCAUGUAAUAACUCAAAACAACCACCAACUUAUGCUGGAGGGGGUGGGCUAUUUAUAGCCAGGAGGCAACCCGACAUGAUAUGACCAAAAUGACCCUAGGUCAAUGGGUAACCGACAUGUGUCCAACAACCGUAUUUCAAACACACGCGAUAGCUUUACUUGAGCUCCAACUAAAGCUAACUCAACGAACGUUGGAAAAGGUGUUCUCUCACUGUCUUCACUGGAAGACAUAGAAUUUUAGGUUCAACAUCAAGUCAGUUUCUAACUUUGUUUACCUCGACCCCAUUUAACAAUAUGGUGGUUCCUAUGGCUCAAGAAAGGCGAAAAUGAAACUAUCAAAAGACUAUGUCUUCGUGCUCCAUUGUAUUCAAGCGAAAGUCCUCACGUCCCAUUGUCUUCAAAUAAAUGUCUUCCCGUACCACCAUUAUCUUUAAUGUCUUCAUACAUGUUUAGGAGUCAUAUUUGAUUGGUAAGCCGAAUCUCUAGGGACUUCUAUCUGUGUUCUCCUGUGAAUCUCAUAAAUAGAUUAGUCCCUCAACCAAAUUUGUCGUCAAUACUCCAUAACCAAUGAUAUGUCCAUUUUGCAUCAUGUUUUUAUAUUGAUAUUUAUUGCAUUAUGUGCUGUUAUUACGUAUUUACGUACAAUACUUAUGUCUUUUCUCUCUUAUUUUACAAGGUUUACACAAAGAGGGAGAAUGCCGACAGCUGGAAUUCUGGACCGGAAAGGAGCAAAUCUGAGAGACCUAUUCUGCAUAACUCCAAAAAUCCUCAAAAUUUACAGAGAAUUAUUUUGGAAUAUAUAAAAAUAUUGGGUGAAGAAAAUACAAGAGGGGACCCACCAAGUGGCCACAAGGAUGGGGGCACGCCCUACCCCCUGGGCGCGCCUCCCUGGCUUCAGGGCCCCUUGGCAAGCCUUUGGUGCCCCUCUUCUACUAUAUGAUGUCUUUUGACCUGGAAAAAAAAAUCAGAAGAGAGCUUUCAGGAUGAAGUGCCGCCGUCUCGAGGCGAAACUUGGGCAGAACCAAUCUAAGAUUCAGGUGGCUUCAGAUUGCAAGGUGGCGUUGCAGAUAUAUAUUAGAAGAGCGCAACUACCUAUAGAGCAAUCAUAACUGAGAUCAUAGAUUGGAAGGCUACUUUUACUAAUUGUACAUUAGCCAUGAAUUUAGGAGCUUGAAUGUUGAAGCUCACAAACUCGUGAAGCAUGCUUUAUCCCUAGGGGUUGACCGCCAUGUUUGGUUAGGUAACCCCAUAGCUGAAGUUGUCUCGCCUUGCUUCAAAUCUACUGGGCGUGCACUGCGAUUUUGACCUAACGGCCUCCAUUUGCUGGAAUUAAUUGGAAUAGUUGAGAAGAAAGUGACAAACGAAUGCGUAAUGCGUGGGAAUCUGCCGAAUAGUUCAGGCUGAAUCCCGAAGAAAGUUCGUUGGUCAGGUAAAGGUUGGCCAGCCAAUGAUGCUUAGCUGGUCUUUUUGAAUGUUUAGCCACACUAGGACUGAGACAUAGCCCAGACUCCCAUGGGGGGCAGCAGAGGGGAAUCUUGGACAAUGGGCGAAAGCCCGAUCUAGCAAUAUCGUGUGAGUGAAGAAGGUCAAUGCUCCUUUUAAAGCUCUUACGUUGAGUGCACGAUCAUGUCAUAUCUCGAGGAAGAAGCCCCGGCUCACUCUGUGCNNNNNNNNNNNNNNNNNNNNNNNNNNNNNNNNNNNNNNNNNNNNNNNNNNNNNNNNNNNNNNNNNNNNNNNNNNNNNNNNNNNNNNNNNNNNNNNNNNNNNNNNNNNNNNNNNNNNNNNNNNNNNNNNNNNNNNNNNNNNNNNNNNNNNNNNNNNNNNNNNNNNNNNNNNNNNNNNNNNNNNNNNNNNNNNNNNNNNNNNNNNNNNNNNNNNNNNNNNNNNNNNNNNNNNNNNNNNNNNNNNNNNNNNNNNNNNNNNNNUAAGUACUCUUUGGAAUGACUGGGUGUAAAGGGCAUGUAGGCGGCGGGUUGAAAAUGAAACUGUGAAAAUCAUAAAAAGUGGCGGAAUGCUCUCGAAACCAAUUCACUUAAGUGAGACAGAGGAGAGUGGGUGAUUUUCUAUUCGUCCCUAUAAACACUACUCAUCAAUCCGUGCAGGUGCACGGGCUAGAUAUACCAUCAUAGAAUCUUGUAAAUAUACUUUGUAAGCCUAUAACUGGAAACAUAAAACAUGGAACAUGCUUUUCAGUUUUUAUUUUAUAGUGGUGUUUAGUCUUCAAAUUUCAGGCAAAAUUAAAAGUGGACACGUAUAAAUUCUCAAGUUCAUUGAUCAAGCGCAUGCAGUUGUUAUGGUAUACAAAAUCCAACAUGUUGAAGACUCACAUGCAUAUUUGUAGGAAAAACUAAAAAAAAUGUAAUUAUUUUUUAGAUCAUUACAUUCAAACCCACACAAAGAAAAUAGUCAAAUAAACAUCAUUUUUCUUUAAACAGAAGGAUCCAACUGACGCCAUAAAAUGUAUCUUUUCCUUAUAUUGGCCAAUUAUUGCUCAAAUAGCUGUGCAUGUGUUGUGUAAAUAAGAUUUAGAUAUGGUACAUAGAACUUUUGUUAGAUUUAGAUCAUAGCUUCAGUGUGAAUGUUGCUGCAAUGGCACAGAAGUAUGAUCGGUUUGGCAUCAUCUGCUUUGCGAUGAUCCACUCCCGUGCACAGGCUCUAUCCUACAGAUCGUCCUAUCGGACAACUAGCAGUAUAUGUCAUGCCAAAAGCUUCUUGACCAACAUAUGUGCUAGUAAAUCUAAUUACUCUAAAUUAUGAAAAUAUAGUUAUUCCGAAUUAUGAAAAUAUAAUUACCCUAAACUAUAUAUGUACCUUAGAUCGUAGAGGCCACCAUCGAACAGAACUAUAUAGGGAGUAGUUGUGCGGUAGUACUGUUGAGAUGUAGAAGUGGAAAAGCAAUAAUGCAUAACAAAAUCAUAUUCUAUCACACGCUUAGCUUAUACUAUAUAUAUUGGCACACAUUUUCUUUGCAUAUGCACCUAGUAGAUUAAACAAUGGAAGCAAACACAGUAGGGCAAACCAAUUUCAGAUUUUUAUCUAAAAUCAAAAGCCUAGAAAAGGUGAAUCUGCCGAAUAGUUCGGGCCGAAUCCUGAGGAAAGUUCAAAGCACUGUUUGACGAGCCUACGUAGUAUUAGUUAGUUGGCCAGGUAAAGGCUGACAAGCCAAUGAUGCUUAGCUAGUCUUUUUGAAUGAUUAGCCACACUGGGACUGAGACAUGGCCCAGACUCCCAUGGGAGGCAGCAGAGGGAAUCUUGGACAAUGGGCGAAAGCCCGAUCCAGCAAUAUCGCGUGAGUGAAGAAGGUCAAUGCUCCUUGUAAAGCUCUUACGUUGAGUGCGCGAUCAUGAUAUAUCUCGAGGAAGAAGUAACUCCAUGCCAGCAGCCNNNNNNNNNNNNNNNNNNNNNNNNNNNNNNNNNNNNNNNNNNNNNNNNNNNNNNNNNNNNNNNNNNNNNNNNNNNNNNNNNNNNNNNNNNNNNNNNNNNNNNNNNNNNNNNNNNNNNNNNNNNNNNNNNNNNNNNNNNNNNNNNNNNNNNNNNNNNNNNNNNNNNNNNNNNNNNNNNNNNNNNNNNNNNNNNNNNNNNNNNNNNNNNNNNNNNNNNNNNNNNNNNNNNNNNNGUACUCUUUGGAAUGACUGGGUGUAAAGGGCAUGUAGGCGGCGGGUUGAAAGUGAAGCUACGAAAAUCAUAAAAAGUGGCGGAAUGCUCUUGAAAUGAAUUCACUUAAGUGAGAUAGAGGAGAGUGGAUGGUUUUCUAUUCGUCCCUAUAAACACUAGUCAUCAACCCGUGCAGCUGCACGGGCUAGCGACUUGAGUCCGAAAACUUUGUGUUUAAUAUACUCUGGAAAAAGAAUAAACAUUGAAUAACAUUCAUAAUUUGUAAUUAUAAGUGUACUUUUUAAAAUCACGGUUACAUUGUUUAGCCUUUCAAGCAAUGCACAACAAUAAUUAGUGGCAAUGCACAACAAUAACAUUCAUAAUUUAUAAUUUCAACCGUGGUAUUAUAGGAGCAUACCACAUCACCUUGGCAGGAAUCUUCUUCCUGGAGCGCUCGCCCUCGACAUCUCCAGGGUCAUCGCGGCUGAUCUUAUAGCGCAAUGCACCGCAUACGGGGAACGCGUUCAAAUCCUCGUACUCACCACAGUAGAGGAUGCAGUCAUUAGGGCAUGCAUGUAUCUUCUGCACCUCUAAUCCUAGAGGGCAGACAACCUUCUUUGCUUCGUACGUACUUGGGCAAUUUGUUGUCCUUUGGAAGCAUCUUCUUUAACAUUAUCAGCAACUUUCCAAAUCCCUUGUCAGAUACACCAUUCUCUACCUUCCAUUGCAGCAAUUCUAGUGUGGUGCCCUGCUUUUUCUUGUCAGCUUCACAAUUUGGGUACAACAAUUUCUUGUGAUCCUCUAACAUGCGCUACAACUUCUUCUCCCCCUUUUCACUUGUGCAGUUUCUCUUUGCAUCAGCAAUGGCACGACCUAGAUCCUCAGCGGGCUCAUCUUAUGCCUCUUCUUCAGCUUCUUCCCGCAUUCCCGGCUCAAUUUCUUCCCCCAUUGUUGUACCAUCGUAUUCAGGGAACCCAUGGCCAGGAUAGCUAUCGUCGUCCUCUUCUUCUUCACUGUCUUCCAUCAUAACCCCUCUUUCUCCGUGCUUAGUCCAAACAUUAUAGUGGGGCAUGAAACUGGACACAAAUAGGUGGACGUGAAUGGUUCUUGACUUAGAGUAAUUCAGAUCAUUCUUACAGUUAGCACAUGGACAAGGCAUAAAACCAUCCGCCCGCUUGUUUGCCUCAUCUGCAAGUAGAAACGUAUGCACACCAUUAAUGAACUGGGGAGAGCAUCGGUCAUCGUACAUCCACUUCCGGUUCAUCUUCAUUUACACAACACCGAAAAUUCCAAAUUAAUACAAGUUCAUACAAAACAACAUACAAAUAACUCUGUAGCUAAAGUAUUUAAAUGCAACAACAAAUGCGAUCAAGAUCGCAACUAAGGUAACAAUUGAUCCAACAACAUAAUGAUACCAAGCCUCACUAUCAAUGGCAUAUUUUUUAAUCUUUCUAAUCUUCAAGCGCAUUUUCUCCAUCUUGAUCUUGUGAUCAUCGACGACAUCGGCAACAUGCAACUCCAAUUCCAUCUUCUCCCCCUCAAUUCUUUUCAAUUUUUCUUUCAAAUACUCGCUUUCUUUUUCAACUAAAUUUAACCUCUCGAGAAUAGGGUCGGUUGGAAUUUCCGGUUCACAUACCUCCCAGAUAAAAAUAUCUGUCAACUUGAUGGGCAUAAUUUUUCAUAAACACGAAAUGCAACAAAUAGUUAUAAAAGGGAAUAUACCACAUCCGAAUCAUAACCCGGACGAGGGCCGACGGGGACGGAUAUCAAAACUAUGGCACUAUGUAUAACAAACAACAUACAUGUAAGAUAAUUAUACAAGUAACUAUAUAUCUAAAUAACAAAAAAAUGAUUUUUCAUAUAUUAAAAAGAUAAGAACAAGAGACUCAUCACAAGGUGGUGCCGGCGACGGGACGGUGCGGGCGGUCGACGGUGGUUAGGACGGAGACGGGAAGGCACAAAGUAAACCACACCUACAUAUGCAAACUAAGAGUUAUUUUGACCUCAAAUUGCAUAUAAAUCAAAUAAACUACAACAUAUAUAUAAUUCCUCCCAAACUAAAAACCCACAAAUCACUAUACUUAUAGAGCAUUGUAAGAGCUAAUGUAACAAUGAGAGAUGAAAGGACAUAGUUGCUAACCUUUGUGAUCACUUGGACGGAUGGGGUGCCUUCAAAUGUUGGAAAAUUUUGGCAAAAAUGGAGGUGGCAGAUUGAGCAAGAGGGGAAGAAAACAAAGAGGAGGGGAAAAGUAGAGGGCUUCGGCUCGGACUGGAAGAAGCACUAUAUAUAGUGAUAUCUGUAGUCUUGGUUGGUUACACGAACCGGGACUAAAGGUCAACUUCUAGUCUCGGUUCGUGGCAUGAACCGGUACUAUAGGUCAUGGUGCGGCCGCAGCCUGCCGCAAGCCUGCCACCACCUCUUUAGUACCGGUUUGUGGCACGAACCGGUACUAAAGGUUCGCCACGAACUGGUACUAAUGAGAGCAGCCCACCUAGCCGUUGGAACCGGCAGUAAUGGUCACAUUAGUGUCGGUUCUAUUAAAAACCGGGACUAAAUAGUUGAACAUUAGGCCCAUUUUCUACUAGUGGUUACUUGACGGGCACUAUUUUUGUAAGGCAAAUGCCAAAUAAUUGGUCGGUAUUAAAUGUUGGUUGCCUAAACAAAAUAUUGUAAAUUUUUGGUCGGCGAAACAAACUCCCAUCUGACCGUCGGUCGAUACAUGUCCAUGGCAACCCUAACUAAUUGUUGGAUGGGAAAAACACUAUUUGAUAGUCGGUCAGGAAAGGACCAUAGUAGCUCAAAUGGACUGUCGGUCGGGAAAGGUCCGUGGCAGGCCCAACAGAAUGUUGGUCUCGAAAGAUACACUAUAGCCGACAAGCAGUCGGUUGGGACUAACAUGUCGGUCGGGAAAGGGUUUUCCUGUCUGGACUUUCCCCAAGGAUCUUUGCCGUCAGCCAGCUCACGACAAAGAAAGUUUUUGCCAUCAGCUUACAGAAAACUGACUGCAAAGAAAGAGCCAACGACAAAGAGCAUGUUUGCCGUCCGGCAUAGCAGCCGACAAAGAGGGAGGGUGGUCCACUAAGGAGUACCACCUAACGACCACUUUCUUUGGCGUCUGCUAGCGGACGACAAAGAUUGCAGCUAAUGGCUACAUACGGCCCACCCCACACCUCCCACUCUCCAUUUCUCUUUCUCUCUCACUCCACCGUGCCGACCCCGAUCCCAACCGCCGCCGCCGCUCCCGACCCCCACCUCCCGCGCCGCCCCUGACCCCCCUGCCGCCCCUCCGGUCCAUGACCCGCCACCCCGCGGUCCGCUGCGCCCCCCGGCCCCUGCAACCACCGACNNNNNNNNNNNNNNNNNNNNNNNNNNNNNNNNNNNNNNNNNNNNNNNNNNNNNNNNNNNNNNNNNNNNNNNNNNNNNNNNNNNNNNNNNNNNNNNNNNNNNNNNNNNNNNNNNNNNNNNNNNNNNNNNNNNNNNNNNNNNNNNNNNNNNNNNNNNNNNNNNNNNNNNNNNNNNNNNNNNNNNNNNNNNNNNNNNNNNNNNNNNNNNNNNNNNNNNNNNNNNNNNNNNNNNNNNNNNNNNNNNNNNNNNNNNNNNNNNNNNNNNNNNNNNNNNNNNNNNNNNNNNNNNNNNNNNNNNNNNNNNNNNNNNNNNNNNNNNNNNNNNNNNNNNNNNNNNNNNNNNNNNNNNNNNNNNNNNNNNNNNNNNNNNNNNNNNNNNNNNNNNNNNNNNNNNNNNNNNNNNNNNNNNNNNNNNNNNNNNNNNNNNNNNNNNNNNNNNNNNNNNNNNNNNNNNNNNNNNNNNNNNNNNNNNNNNNNNNNNNNNNNNNNNNNNNNNNNNNNNNNNNNNNNNNNNNNNNNNNNNNNNNNNNNNNNNNNNNNNNNNNNNNNNNNNNNNNNNNNNNNNNNNNNNNNNNNNNNNNNNNNNNNNNNNNNNNNNNNNNNNNNNNNNNNNNNNNNNNNNNNNNNNNNNNNNNNNNNNNNNNNNNNNNNNNNNNNNNNNNNNNNNNNNNNNNNNNNNNNNNNNNNNNNNNNNNNNNNNNNNNNNNNNNNNNNNNNNNNNNNNNNNNNNNNNNNNNNNNNNNNNNNNNNNNNNNNNNNNNNNNNNNNNNNNNNNNNNNNNNNNNNNNNNNNNNNNNNNNNNNNNNNNNNNNNNNNNNNNNNNNNNNNNNNNNNNNNNNNNNNNNNNNNNNNNNNNNNNNNNNNNNNNNNNNNNNNNNNNNNNNNNNNNNNNNNNNNNNNNNNNNNNNNNNNNNNNNNNNNNNNNNNNNNNNNNNNNNNNNNNNNNNNNNNNNNNNNNNACGACACCACCAACACCCUGAUCCCCGACAUGACACUCGAGACCCCGACACGGCACCCCCAACCUCGAGACAGCACCCCGACCCUAACAUGACACCCCCGAAACCCCGACCCCCAGAGGCCGACGGGGUCAUAUAUUUGUGAAUUAUGAGUUAGGUCAGGUAUUCAAUUAUUAUUAUGUACAUAUACAUAUAUAUUAUUAUUAAUUAGUUCAUGUUAUUAGGUAUUCAAUUUUUUAUUAUGUUCAUGAUGAUGAUACACACUUAAUUUUUUUAUCAUGUUUAUGUUGUACUAAUUUCAUUUACUCUUUGUCAUUGCAGGUGUUGACAGAUGGUGGGCUCGGGUCGAGAGCGCUCCGAGCCUCCUUCUUCGGCGCGUGCUGGGAGGUGUGUUGUUAUUCCACUCCAGCACCUUCGGAGAGCGCUGAUAGACAGCACACAGACACCAGCGGGCGCUUCUUCUUCGACCGAGAGAGGUCGGGGGAAGACGAAGAGGGGUACAGCUAGACGUGGCGGCGGGAUAGGUAGGAAGGCUGCUACGCCUUCCUCGCCGCCACCCCAGCUGAUUCUUUGGACCACUGGAGUGCUUCGUCCCAGGUGGACCCGUCUGACUUGGACCCUUCUCGGACUCCGGUCCACAAGCCUCGGGCCAACGAGCCUACAUCCGACGAGACUCGGGUCCUAGAGUCUUCGUCCCAGGAGACUCGGGUCCCAGAGUCUUCGUCCCACGUGACUCCGGAGACUAGUGGCCAUGCUGAUGGUGGCGAGGACACCUUAUCUGACGAUAGCUACAAUGAUGGCGAGCUAGUUGAGGGGGGCAAGAAGGUCUACCAGCGUGGUGGUACAGAUCUCCCGUCCGUGUCGGCGACCCGCGACCAGAGGUGGUUGAUUGAGCCUAAAGGGGAGAAGUAAGUGCAUUUACUCUUUUUUAACCAUUUGCCUUCAUGUUUCUUCAAAUUAAUAUCUAAUGUGUUGGCCUUGUCAUACUGCAAGGGUUGGAUACAUGCCUCUGAUGUCCGUAGGCCCAACCAGGUCCUUGGUGUGAUUUGCCGGCACCACUUCCCGGGAUGGGUCACAUUGCCCGAUGAGGGUGAGGUUCCAUAGCUAGCACUGACCUGGGAGCUGCACAAGGGUGCCCCGGCCCCGCCGAGGGAGAUGGUCGACGGUGUCGUGUGCGAGACGGUGGCGGACAUUGUGAGACGGCGGUUUUGGGUAAUUUCUCCUUUAUAGAAUUAAAAAUCAACAAUACUUAGUGAUUGUACUAAUCAGUGUUGUCUUGUUUGAUUCCAUCCCUUCUACAGGUGUCUUGAGGAACACGAGGCGGACACGGCUAUGGUUCUCGAAGCCGAGUGCAAGCGCCUAAUUCAGAACUUAUGGUACGAGGCUCAGGUACAGGCUGUUCAAGACUACUAUGCCUCGACUAACAUCAGAAGGUCCAAGAAGAAGUGACGCGGCAAGUAUCUGAGUAAGGAGAAGUACAUGAAGGUAAUUACCUAUUCUUAAGGCCUUGGACUUAGUUUCCUUGAUUUGAUUUGUAGGCAUAGCGCUGAAAUUUCUCUUUGUCUAACUUUGGUGCCCCCGAGAUGGUGUGCGGAUAGGAUGGACUGUUGGGAGAGGUUGGUGAAUGAGUGGUGCUCUCCCCAAUGGCUAGCCGUCCACAACAAGGCCAGGGAUAAGUGUGCCCAGAUGCAAGGUGUGCCACACCAUCAAGGGAGCUCCAACCUGUUUGAGUACGGGGAUCACUUGGUAUGUGGUUUGAGCCCUUAAUGAUUCAUGCAAUUUCAUUCUUCAUGCUAGCUUGAGCCCUUAACUAAUAUUUUGUUCCUCUCUUUUAGGCACGACACAACAAGAAGGAGGUGCCACUGCUGUACAACCUCUAUGCCAUGGCCCAUACUGCCCCGUACAAGAAGGCCAAGGCAUUCUGAGAGCUCCACCAACAUAUCCUCCCAUACGAUAAGCUCAUGAGGUACAGAGUCUUUGGGAAGGCGAUGAAAGGGGAGGACUUCAACCCGAGCCAGAGUCCUUUUGAUCCUAAGCUUGUGAUGCUAUCUGAAGGGACGAAACAUGGCUCAGUAGCCAUUAGGGAUGGACUGAUACGUUGUCCUAGAAGUCUCCCAGAGAUCAAGAAGCGCCAGAUGAGGUCUCUUCCUGAGAUGAGGCCUCGAUAACGACCAAUGGAGCUCGCCAUCAAGGCUAGGGCCCAGGAGCUUCUGGCGGAGGCAAACAGGUAGUCGACGCAGAGGGAGAGGGAGUUGGAGGAGAGGACAGCUAGUAUGUUGGAGGCGGAGAGGAACCGGAACGACGCGGGUCACCGGGCCCUAUACGAGCUCCUCGUGGUAAGUUUCUCCUGCAUAUUAGCCAAAUCAUGUAUGUGAUGUUCGUUUCAUUACUAACUAAUAUGACUGACUCGUGAAAACAAAAUGUGCAAUCCGUUUGCGAGAAAAACGACCAGACCCCUCAGCCGAUGCACCAGCACUAGUGCAGAACCGGGCUAUAGCACUGGUUCGUAAGGGCCUUUAGUCCCGGUUCUGUAACCUGCACUAAAGGGUGGAGACUAAAGGCCCCCCCUUAGUACCGCUUCUGCACGAACCGGGGCCAAAGGCCCACCAUGUGGCACAAUCCCGCGUGGUGAUCUGGGGGAUCUUUAGUACCGGUUGGUAACACCAACCGGUACUAAAGGAUUUUUUUUAUUUUUGAUUUUAUUUUUUACGAAAAAAUUGAAUAUUUUUUCCGAUUUUCAAAUUUCUGAAUUAUUUGACGAUUUUGUCUCUAAUCACUGCUCAUCAUUGCUGUAAUCACCCCUCAUCAAUCCAAAUUGUCUAACUUCCUGGACAGUCACCCAUCCUCUCAUUACUCCAGCCUGAGCACGCUUAACUUCCGAGUUCUAAGUCUGCACGUGUUGUUUACCUGACAAUAGUAAGUUGUCAAUCCUAUUAACCCUCAGGAAUUUAGCUUGAACAUGAAGUCACAUGUUUCACCGUUUUAGUUUGAAACUAUUAUUUUAAAAAAUAAAUAUUAUUUAGUAACCGAGAUACUUCUUGAAUAAGUAGUCUGACCACAGUUUGACCAUAGUUUGACCAAAAGUCAAAAAAACUAAAAUAACUAUUUAUUAACACUAAUAUUUCUUGAAUAAUUAGUUUGACCAUAGUUUGACCACAAUUCGACCAGAUUUAACAAAUUUUUUAAAACAAACUGAAAUUGGAGAAAAUCUUUUUUUCCUUUUAGAAUUUGAGGUUUCUAAAAAAUUGCAAACAAGCAGUAGGCGGUCAAAAUUGGAUGCGGAUUUUCGUGCUGAUUUUUUUGACAUAUUAUGCGUUUUUUUGACAUCGUAUGCAAAAGAUAUGGCCGUUUUACAUUUUCAUAACACUUUUUUUGCAAAACAUGUCCAAAUUUAAGUUUUUUAAUUUUCCUAACUAGUAGAUUUAGUAACAUAACUACAUCUCGAACGAUUUUACUUUUUGAAGUUUUUAUCAUUUUCUUUUGCUUUUUACAAAAUUGAAAAGGCGGUCCGGGGGGGUAGAGUUUGAAAAUGGGUCCUUUAGUCUCGGUUUGUGUCUCCAACCGAGACUAUUGGUCAGACCCCUUUAGUCCCGGUUCGUGGCACAAACCGGUACUAAAGGUUAGCCCUGUAGUACCAGUUUGUGCCACGAACCGGGACUAAAGGGGCUCGUGGGGCCCCGCCUGNNNNNNNNNNNNNNNNNNNNNNNNNNNNNNNNNNNNNNNNNNNNNNNNNNNNNNNNNNNNNNNNNNNNNNNNNNNNNNNNNNNNNNNNNNNNNNNNNNNNNNNNNNNNNNNNNNNNNNNNNNNNNNNNNNNNNNNNNNNNNNNNNNNNNNNGCCAGCCUGCCACCACCCCUUUAGUACCGGUUCAACACGAACCGGCAUUAAUGCAUAGCCGUUUGAACCGGGACUAAUGGUACCAUUAGUACUGGGCCAACAUUGAACCGAGACUAAUGUGUCUCACAUUAGGUCCUUUUUCUACUAGUGCAGAUUGGUAUAGCGGACGCGGUGAGUUUCAUUUGAAUGGUCAUUAGUUACUAGUAUUCACAUUUCAGUUGCAUCAUGCUAACUAGACAUUGCAAAUGAUCUUUGGUGCAGCACGCCUCCCGGCAAGCAUCGACCGAUCCUUCUUCAUCUCAAACUAGCGCAACCCCGACCAGUCCUUCUCCGUCUGGCACUAGCGCAAGCCAAACCGUUCCUUCACCUACAUACUUAGCUUAACAAAUACAUACUUAGCUUAAGAAAUGACCUACUUAGCUCCAAAAUGACCUAUACUUAUCUUAUUUUCCUCAAAAAUGACAUAAUAACCUUACUUAGCUCCAAACUGACAUAUUCUACCUAGGAUAGCUAUAAAAUGACCUAUACUUAGCAUUUUUUUUCUCCAAAACGACUUGAUAUGCUUAGUUAGCUAGAAAAUGGCAUAACUACCUAGGAUAGCUCAAUAAUGAUCUAUAGCUAUCUUAGCUAGUUCAUUUAUGACAUAAUUAGCUCACUUAGGUAAAAAAUGGCAUAACUACCUAGGAUAGCUGAAUAAUGAUCUAUAAUUAGCUUAGCUAGUUCAUUUAUGCCAUAGUUAGCUCACUUAGGUAAAAAAUGACAUAACAACCUUGGUUUAGCUCCCAAAUGACCUAUACUUAGCUUAUUUCCUUGAAAAUGACAUAACAACCUUACUUAGCUCUGAACCGACAUACUUUACCUAGGAUAGCUAUAAAAUGGCCUAUACUUAGCAUUUUUUUACUCCUAAAUGACUUAAUAUGCUUAGUUAGCUAAAAAUGUCACAACUACUUAGGUUAGCUCCAAACUGGCCUACACUUACCAUUUUGUCCUCCAAAAUGAAUAAAUUUGCUUAGUUAGCUCAAAAAUGGCAUAACUACCUAGGUUAGCUCCAAAAUGACAUAUUUACCUAGCUUAGCUCUAAAAUGACCUACACACUUAGCAUUUUUAGCUAGCUAAAGCUAAAAAAUGGCAUUUUUACCUACCUUAGUUAGAAUAAGAAGAAGAUAAAGAAGAGGAGAGGAGAAAAAGAAUGAGAAGAUAAAUCUUCUUUUUCUUCUUCUUUUUCUUCCUUUUCUUCUAGCUAGUCUUCUUCUUCUUCUUCUAACUUUCAUCUUUCCUAAUUUGUAGAUUUGCUUUAGAUGAGGAAGCUUGCAUUGAUGGAGUGUACUCUUCUACUUGUGCUUCCUUUUUGUUUAUGGAAACUUAUUUUGGAUAUGUAUGUAUAUAUGGAUAUGUUGUUGGAAGCCAUUGUAUGGUGGAUAUGUUGUUGGAAACUUGUAUGUUGGAUAUGUUGAUGGAAACUUAUUGUUGGUAUGCUUGUUGAAAUUAUUUUGAAAUGUGUGUAUAUAUAUAUAUCUGUGAAAUUCUGUCAAACUGAAUGAAUUUAAGAAAAAACAGAAAAAACAGGGGCUAUACAGUCUCUUUGUCGUCUGCUGGCAUAUGGCAAAGAGCUUUGCCGUCUGCCGGCAAAGCUGCCACAUGGCAGCUACCUGUGCAACUUGGGGUGCUCUGGGCUGGCCUAUUUGGCAGCUUUGCCAUCAGCGGCAGACGGCAAAGACCUUUGCAUCUUUGCCAUCCGCUGGCAGACGACAAAGAUGCAAAGGCCUUUGUCGUCUGCCAGCUGACGGCAAAGCACACCCUUAACCCCUUAACGGACCUAAGCUGCCAUGUGUGGUGUCCAGGCUCUUUCCCGUCUGCCAGUAUACGGCAAAGAGGGCUUUGCCGUAGCUUAUUUAGCCGGAGCUGUUGCCAUUUAUUGGCUGACAGCAAAGGCCUUUGCCAUACUCCAGGCAUGCCUUUUAUCGUCAGCCAUGGUUGACCGUAAAGUGCCUGAUUCCUUUAGUGUUGGCACAACUUGUAUUCCCGACCAAUCUGGAUUUUGGGGAUGUAGUGCAGUGGUGUACUGAAUGCAGUGUCGUGGUGUAGUGCGGGCAAGUUAAGAAAAAAAUGGACACAUGCGAGGCUAGCACCAUGAUGAACACUACUGAGGUAGAGGAGAUGAUGAAGAAGUUGGGGAUCACGGAGGAUGACUUUGAUGAUGUGGUAGUAGAGGAAGAGGAGGAGCUCCCUGCUGAAGCAAUCCAGUGGAUGGCAAUCAUGCGAGUGCACAUAGAGAAAACUUAUGCUCAGUACUGGUUUUCAGAAACAUGAGGGUGGCUUGGGACUUGGCGAAAGAGGUGAAGAUCUGGCUACUCAACAAUAAUAUGUACAUGCUGCAAUUUUCUUGUUUAGGCGACUAGGAGGGAGUCAUGGACGAUGGGCUCUGGACUUACCGAGGCAACACGGUGCUUUUGGCGUCGUAUGAUGGAUUCACUAAACCAUCAACCAUAGCCUUGGACACAAUUGAGAUGUGGAUCCAAUUCAUGAUCUACCAGAUAGCUACCCCUACCCCCAAUUGAGCCUGGCGCUUGCUAGACCAUCCCGGUUCUCUGAGUUCCAUUGAUCUUAAAAGUUCUAAACUAUCCAAAUAACCCUCUUUCCGAUGCAACCUUGGGACCACAUCCAUCACAUGUAUGGCCGACUAUUUUCCAUGGGAAAGACAUAAUGACUUAGGGUUUGAUAAGGAGAAUAGGAGACAGAGAAUCCCCUGAUAUUUGGAACAAUAAUAGGAUAACUAGAGAGCAUAUAAAGAGGCCGAGAACUUCACAAACACCACAGCCGCCGACAAGCGUCGCUGAACACAUUGAUCACACUGUGUCAUCAAGGGAUGAACAACUUAUUCAAUCGAUACUUAUUCCCAUUGAUGCCGAGACUAUAUUGAAGAUCCCUCUUUGCACGAGACAAAUAUCUUAUUUUUGGUCAUGGAUUGAGGAUAGAAGGGGCAUGUUCAUUGGGCAUUCUGCUUACAAGAUGAUACAGUGAACCAAGAUCAGUAGAGGAUCAUGGCUGUAUGAGCAGGGUGGCCGAUCAAACUCAGAGGCUGAUUGUCAAGGAUGGAUAGACUUAUGGCAUAUAAAAUCCCCCCGAAAAUCAAGGUGUUCAUGUGAAUAUUAGCACAAUACUCACAAUGUCCUUCUUCAUCAUAGAAACAUGUCGAUGACGAGUGCUUGUUGUUUGUGCUGGUCUAACGAUAUGUGCAGGCAUGCCCUGCUGAAUUGCUUGGUUUCAAGGAGCACUGAGCACUAUCAUACGAGCAAAUUGUCGAGCUAUUGAGUCUGAAUGUAAAUGAUGACGCCAAACAGUGGCUAUUCACCAUGCAUGAGGUGUUAUCACAUGCGGACGAUUUUAUCAUGUUUACGAUCACUUUUAUGGACGAUAUGGGGAGCUCGGCACAAAGCUAUACAUGAGGAGAUAUAUAAAAGCCCUUUCACUUUUCAGGCUUUUGUGCAGAGUUACUUAACUGAGCUGAGAGCUACCCAAAGCACUCGAAGUCCAGUUCCAGGGGCACCCGUGAUUAGGCCAAGUCAAUGUAUCGCUCCUCGGGAUAAUAUGGUGAAGGUCAAUGUGGAUGCGGCGGUUGGACCAGGCGACACUCGAGGCGCAAUGGGAGCUAUAUGCAGAGAUCAAGCAUGUAAUUUUCUGGGUGUGUUGGCCAUUGUGUUUCCACAUAUAUCAGAUCUUGUUACUGUCGAAUCUUCAGCAAUCAGGGUGGCACUUGCACUUGGUGAUAAUCUCUAUGAGAGGAAGAUUCAGGUGGCUUCAGAUUGCAAGGUGGUGUUGCAGAUAUACAUCAGAAGAGCGCAGCUAUCUACAGAGCAAUCAUAACUGAGAUCAUAGAUCAGAAGGCUACUUUUACUAAUUGUACAUUAGCCAUAAAUUUAGGAGCUUGAAUGUUGAAGCUCACAAACUCGUGAAGCAUGCCUUAUCCCUGGGGGUUGACCGCCAUGUUUGGUUAGGUAACCCCAUAGCUAAAGUUGUCUCGCCUUGCUUCAAAACUACUGGGCGUGCGCUGCGGUUUUGACCUAAAGCCUCCGUUUGCUGGAAUUAAUUGGAAUAGUUGAGAAGAAAGUGACCAACGGAUGCGUAAUGCGUGGAAAGCUGCUGGAUAGUUCGGGCCGAAUCCUGAAGAAAGUUCAAAGCGCUAUUUGGUGAGCCUACGUAGUAUUAGUUCGUUGGUCAGGUAAAGGUUGGCAAGCCAAUGAUGCUUAGCUGGUCUUUUUGAAUGUUUAGCCACACUGGGACUGAGACAUGGCCCAGACUCCCAUGGGGGGCAGCAGAGGGGAAUCUUGGACAAUGGGCGAAAGCCCGAUCCAGCAAUAUCGCGUGAGUGAAGAAGGUCAAUGCUCCUUGUAAAGCUCUUACGUUGAGUGUGCGAUCAUGACAUAUCUCGAGGAAGAAGCCCAGGCUAACUCCGUGCCAGCAGCCGCGCUAAGACGGGGGUGGGGGUGGGGGGUGGGGGGAAGUACUCUUUGGAAUGACUGGGUGUAAAGGGCAUGUAGGCGGCGGGGUUGAAAAUGAAACUGUGAAAAUCAUAAUAAGUGGCGGAAUGCUCUUGAAACCAAUUCACUGAAGUGAGACAGAGGAGAGUGGGUAGUUUUCUAUUCGUCCCUAUAAACACUAAUCAUCAACCCGCGCACCUGCACGGGCUAGAUAUACCAUCAUAGAAUCUUGUAAAUAUACUUUGUAAGCCUAUAACUGGAAACAUAAAACAUGGAACAUGCUUUUCAGUUUUUAUUUUAUAGUGGUGUUUAGUCUUCAAAUUUCAGGCAGAAUUAAAAGUGGACACGUAUGAAUUCUCAAGUUCAUUGAUCAAGCGCAUGCAGUUGUUAUGGUAUACAAAAUCGAACAUGUUGAGGACUCACAUGCAUAUUUGUAGGAAAAACUAAAAAAAAUUUGUAAUUAUUUCUUACAUCAUUACAUUCAAACCCACACAAAGAAAAUACUCAAAUAAACAUCAUUUUUCUUUAAACAGAAGGAUCCAACUGACGCCAUAAAAUGUAUCUUUUCCUUAUAUUGGCCAAUUAUUGCUCAAAUAGCUGUGCAUGUGCUGUGUAAAUAAGAUUUAGAUAUGGUACAUAGAACUUUUGUUAGAUUUAGACCAUAGCUUCAGUGUGAAUGUUGCUGCAGUGGCACAGAAGUAUGAUCGGUUUGGCAUCGUCUGCUUUGCGAUGAUCCACUCCCGUGCACAGGCUCUAUCCUACGGAUCGUCCUAUCGGACUGCUAGCAGUAUAUGUCAUGCCAAAAGCUUCUUGACCAACAUAUGCGCUAGUAAAUCUAAUUACUCUAAAUUAUGAAAACAUAGUUAUUCUGAAUUAUGAAAAUAUAAUUACCCUAAACUAUAUAUGUACCUUAGAUCGUAGAGGCCACCAUCGAACAGAGCUAUAUAGGGAGUAGUUGUGCGGUAGUACUGUUGAGAUGUAGAAGUGGAAAAGCAAUAAUGCAUAACAAAAUCAUAUUCUAUCACACGCUUAGCUUAUACUAUAUAUAUUGGCACACAUUUUCUUUGCAUAUGCACCUGGUAGAUUAAACAAUGGAAGCAAACACAGUAGGGCAAACCAAUUUCAGAUUUUUAUCUCAAAUCAAAAGCCUAGAAAGGGUGAUCCAGGAAAAACAUUAAUCGCUGCAUUGUUGAGAGUCUCAUGUUUCAAUUUCACCAUCCAAUCUCAUAGAAAAAUGUAGGCAGCCGGUGAGGAAUCAGCAGAUGGUUGCCAUGUGCUUCUCGAUAUUUCUUUUCCCUAAUCACCAAAGAACACAUAGGCGAGCCCAGCAGUAACUUGAUAUACAGGAGGCUUCUUUGGUUUGCACCAGUGUAACACGAAAGAACAGAUACGCAGCCGUGAAAGUCGCUGGCUGCAUGAUGGAAGACGCCAACCACAUAUCGUUGAUAUUGAACGCAACGCUUGAAUAUCUUUUUUGACCUCUUCGUUCACCAUAACCUUUCAUAGUGGGAUCCAUCUUUCUUAAGCUUUGACACUUGGAAAUAAUACUUACCAUCAUAUUAAUCAAACCUUGCUGCAUCCACCGAUUUUUUUUCCAACUCAUGCAUGUGAAACCAUGGAUAUUUCAUCAGCAAAAAGUACGAAAAAGGACACAACUAUGCACUAUUAAUUAUGUCUGUGCUCAGACAUACCGCUCUCCUGCAGUAUCCACAAAAGGAAAACCAAGAUUUUCAGUUCUCACGCGCCUGACAAACAUCAUCUAUCUUCUGCUUGCAAUCUUUCCUGAUGAUACAUCAUGUCCGUUGGGGGUAAUAUGAAUUCAAAAGGAUGGAAAAAAGACCUGGAAAGAGGGGAAUUAGGGAUACUGUGCUAAAUUGGGAUAGGAGAGGAGAGCAUUAUGCCCUUGAAUGGAAUCCAGGAUGUGAAACGUUGUGCCGCCAUAGCGAUGAUGGCCACAACCAUACUUGCACUAGUAGAAAACAGGGCAUUUGUCCCGGUUCGUAAGGGCCAUUAGUCCCGGUUCAUGAACCGGGACUAAAGGGUCGUUACUAAUGCCUCCCCCCUUUAGUCCCGGUUCUAACACGAACAGGGACUAAAGGUCGCGGCCACGUGGAGCUCCACCUUUAGUCCCGGUUGUUACCAACCGGGACUAAAGGAAAUUCUAUGAUUUUUUUUUGAAUUUUUUUUGAUUUUUUUUAAUUUUCAAAUUUCCGAAUUAUUUAACCUCUAAUCUCUAAUCACCCCUUAUCAUUCCAAAUCAUCUAACUUCCCGAACGGUCACCCAUCCUCCCACUCCCCCAGCCUGAGCACGCUUAACUUCUCGGUUCUAUUCUCCCUCGUUUCCAAGUCUGGACUUGUUGUUUUCCUGACAAUAUUAAUAUGUCAAUCCUAUUAACCUUCAGGAAUUUUGCUUGAGCAUGAAGUGACACAUUUCACUGUUUGAGUUUGAAACUAUUGUUUUAAAAAACAAUAAUUAUUGAAUAACACUAAUAUUUCUUGAAUAAUUAGUUUGACCAUUGUUUGACCACUGUUUGACCACAGUUUGACCAGAUUUGACCAAAAUUCAAAAUAACUGAAAUAAUUAUUUAGUAACACUAAUAUUCUAGAUUAAUUAGUUUGACCAUUGUUUGACCACAGUUUGAAUUGUUUUUGAUUUUUUCCACUCUAGAUCUUAAAAGCCCCGUAUCUUUUUUCUGUUAGGUUUUUGAGGAUUUUGAAAAUGUUUAACGUGGUUCCCCCUGUUACAUUUGGAUGUAACUUUUUGAGUAGAUGAUUUUUUUAUAUAAAAAACUUUUUCAUCCGAGUUAGUAUGCAAAAGUUAUGUCCAUUUAACUAAAUACUAGAGAGAUUUUGCAAAUAAAGUCGAAAUUCACAUUUGCAGAUUUUCCCAACAACUAGACCACGUAUCACAUGGAAACUUGCUUUUUUUUUUGACAUUUUCAUCAUUUUCUUUUAUUUUUUUAAAACUGAAAAGGCGAUCUAGGGGGUGGAGUUUGAAAAUGGGACCUUUAGUACCGGUUCGUGCCAUGAACCGGUACUAAUGCCUCAAACCCCAUUAGUACCGGUUGGUGGCUCGAACCGGGACUAAAGAUCUAACCUUUAGUACCGGUUGGUGCCACGAACCGGUACUAAUGGGCAUCGCACACUUUAGUCCCGGUUCGUGGCACCAAUCGGGACUAAAAGGUCCAGACGAACCGGGACAAAUGGCCCACGUGGCCCCUGGGCGCACGAACCGGGAUUAGUGCCCCCAUUAGUCCCGGUUCUAGACUGAAUCGGGACUAAUGGGCUAAACCGGCCUGGACCAAAGCCCUCUUUUCUACUAGUGUUGCUUCAAAGAGGAACAUCAGUACCGUACCUCCUCCAAGCCUCGAGCAAGCAACACAAUAUUGUACAGGAGGCCCCAUGCCAGCGGUAGGGGCCGAUCGCCGUUCAAUUCCUGCAGAGGGCCUCUCAUCCUUCUAGUACUGAAUAUGCUAGCAGUCGACUAAAAUAGAUGAUUGAGCUGAUAUUGUUAUCAUUGCCAUCUGUAAUCGAUAUUGAAUACCUCCUCUUGCAUGCUAGAUCUAAACAUAAAAUUUAGCUCAACUGUACACAUCUGUUUUGACUCGACAGUAAGGAACCAUAAUAUUGCAACCCUGAGGAACAAAGCAAUGGAUGAGUACUUGACAACAAUUUAGCUCAAGUGUACAGCUAAAAAUUUAAUUAUGAAGGACAAAAUUGGUUGCGACAAAAUCAGUCACUUGACAACAAUUAUCACAUUUGUCUAUGAAUAUUUGAACCUAUGGUCUUUGUUGCGCCCUGGUCGGAUGGAUUAAAAGACGCAACCAUCUAGUACAUAGGGAGAUUGUGCAUACUUCUUACCUCUAAUAAUCUAAUCAAGGCAGUAGAGGAGGAUUAUGUGCCCUGUGUAAGAGGAACACGCAUCAGUCGGAGUAGGAUCCAGGAGGCCAUUAUUGAACCAAUUUUCACAUAUCACCAGCUAAUGAAAAAUAAUUUACAAAUAGUAACUCUCAUCGAAUGUAAAUAAUAUCAUGCAUGGUACUUAAGCCAGCCGUACCUGAAACUUGAUGAAUCUAAUAUUUGUUCAAGGAAGUGUCUCACGGCCUUUAACUAAAACUAACAAUUUACAGUUGACAGUGAUCUAGUUUCAUGAAACUAUAAUUAUUAGAAGUCACCAGAUGUCUGCCUCUCUUCGAUUUCUGCAAGUAGCACCUAGGUGAGCUCACCAAAUCACCCCAUGUUGCUUUAAGUAGGUAGAAAUUUGGCAGAUACACAAAUAUUAGUACGAUAUCCAUUAAUUCUAAUAAUUGAUAAAGAAGGACACUCCUCUUAUGUGUGUGUGUGUGUCUGUGUGUUUGGUGCUGUGUAUUUCGAUGUGAGUUCAGUAAUUCCAACUCCCUACAAUUAAGAUAUGAAUAGUCAGUGGAAACUUACCAUUGGGAACCAUGGCUUGGGGAGCAUGUUCAGACCUGCAAGUUGCUGCUCUCAAUCUAUUGCCCAUGUAUAUGGAUGAUUAUUAAUCUGCUCAUAUGUUUACACCUCCAGACGUUGCCACCGCAGGGAUUAUUAACAUGAACACAACCAUCAUCGCCAUUAAGUUAGCAAAAUAGAUCAACAUACUUGUCGCCAUGGCGUGUAGGAAAAGUUUCACGUGUGAUGUUCUCUAUUGAUAUCACGUAAUCCUUGUAACUAACAGUCAAACGACAUGCUAGGCAAUCACAAAGGGAAACGUUUCAGGCCGGGGAACCGGCCGAACCUUCGGCCGGUCGCGAGCCACGCUGCACUAGUAGAAAAGAGGGCUUUGGUCCACCCCGGGUUAGCCCAUUAGUCCCGGUUCAGUCUAGAACCGGGACUAAUGGGGGCAUUAGUCCCGGUUCGUGCGCCCAGGGGCCACGUGGACCAUUUGUCCCGGUUCGUCUGGACCUUUUAGUCCCCGGUUGGUGCCACGAACCGGGACUAAAGGGUGCGAUGCCCAUUAGUCCCGGUUCGUGGCACCAACCGGGACUAAAAGGUUAGACCUUUACUCCCGGUUCAUGCCACCAACCAGUACUAAUGGGGUUUGAGGCAUUAGUACCGGUUCAUGGCACGAACCGGUACUAAAGGUCCCAUUUUCAAACUCCACCCCCCUCCCCCCUGGAUCGCCUUUUCAGUUUAAAAAAAUAAAAGAAAAUGAUGAAAAUGUCAAAAAAUAAAAGAAAAUAAGUUUCCCAUGUGAUAUGUGGUCUAAUUGUUCGGAAAAUUUACAAAUAUGAAUUUCGACUUUAUUUGCAAAAUCUCUCUAGAAUUUAGUAAAAAUGGGCAUAACUUUUGCAUACUGACUCGGAUGAAAAAGUUUUUUAUAUGAAAAAUCAUCUACUCGAAAAGUUACAUCCAAAUUUAACGGGGGAACCCCGUUAAACAUUUUCAAAAUAUUCAAAAACCUAACAGAAAAAAGUUACGGGGCUUUUAAGAUCUAGAGUGGAAAAAAUCGAAAACAAUUCAAACUGUGGUCAAACAAUGGUCAAACAAUGGUCAAACUAAUUAUUCUAGAAUAUUAGUGUUACUAAAUAAUUAUUUUAGUUAUUUUGAAUUUUGGUCAAAUCUGGUCAAACUGUGGUCAAACUGUGGUCAAACAAUGGUCAAACUAAUUAUUCAAGAAAUAUUAGUGUUACUAAAUAAUUAUUGUUUUUUAAAACAGUAGUUUUAAACUCAAAUAGUGAAAUGUGUCACUUCAUGCUCACGCAAAAUUCCUGAGGGUUUUAAAAAAGUUAGAUGAUCAGGAAUGAUGUGGGGUGAUUAGAGAUUAGAGGAUAAAUUGAGCAGUGAUGAGGGGUGGUGAUUAGAGAUUAGAGGUUAAAAAAAUUCAGAAAUUUGAAAAUAAAAAAAUUCAAAAAAAAAUUCAAAAAAAAAUUCAAAAAAAAUCAUAAAAUUUCCUUACCAACCGGGACUAAAGGUGGAGCUCCACGUGGCCGCGACCUUUAGUCCCGGUUCCAGUUUGAACCGGGACUAAAGGGGGGAGGCAUUAGUAACGACCCUUUAGUCCCGGUUCAAGAACCGGGACUAAAGGCCCUUACGAACCGGGACUAAUGCCCCCUUUUCUACUAGUGCUGGCGCCCCGCGCCCGCCCAAUCCGCGCGUCGCGCGAGACUCCUGUUAUUGUUGGGCCCCACGUGGACCACCCCUCCUCCCUUUUUUAUCUUUCCCCUAACUGCUGCCUUCAUCUCCUACCUCCAGACACAUCCUUUCCCGUGGCCAUUUUUCUUCUUCCUUUUCCCUGCGCUGCUGCCUACCGGCGGCCGCUGCCGGCCGUGUGCUUCGCUGAGCCAGGGGGACUACCCGACUGCUGCUAGUCCUCCUCCUCUGCACAUCUUAUCCCCCAAAACAUCUCUCCUUCUCUCUCAAAUAAGCCAUGGUUCAAGACGAGACAAGGUCUGGGAAGGAGGCUGCAACCGGUACCCAGGGAGCCUGCGACCGGCCAUGAGACGGCGAGCAUGGUGACCUCAGGACGGCGAGGAUAGGGCAACGCUCCUCCAAGAAAACAAUCGAUGUCGUUAUUUUUUCUACAUGCUUCAACCUGCGUCGGAAUUUGCUACAAACGGCAUCGCAUACUGCUGCCAUCGGUGUCACAUUUUUCUGCAAUACAGAAUCGACCUCGCGUUUUUGCUAGAAUCGAUGUCACUUUUUGCUACAACCGUUUUCAUUUUUUUCUACAUAUGUUCAGGCUGAGUUGUGACCCGACGACGGCGGCGAUGACUUUUUUGCUGCAACCGUAAUAGAACUUUGGUACAUCCAGCAACAAUUUUUGCUACAUCCAUUUUUUUUUGCCGGCGACGAUACAAUGGCGAGAUACAACCGCCGGCGAUGAUGACAAGUUUUUCCGCCGGAUAAGCUGCAACGGGCAUCGUCAAAAGCUGGAACCGACCAUCAGCAGAGGUGCAUCUACUGUGGGUGGUGUCCCGGCAACCAUAUCGGGCACCUCUCGCGGAGCUCGACGCCCAUGGCCAUGGCGACAGCCCUCGCGGAGCUCGACGCCCAUGGCCAUGGCAGCACCCCUCGUGGAGCUCGAUGCCGAUGGCCAUGGCAGUACCCCUCGCGGAGCUCGACGCCCAUGGCCACGGUAGCAUCCCUCGCGGAGCUCGACUCCCAUGGCCAUGGCGUGCCCUACCAGUCACGGCGGCAUCCCUCGAGCGGAGCUCGACGAACAUGGUCGUCGUGUCCAUCACCAGGCGGGGGAUCAUGCAUCUCGCGGGUCACAGGGGGGCGCGCGUUCCGCGCGAGGAAGGAGACGAGUUUGGGGGAGAAUCGAACGGUUACAAGCGCGCAAAUCUUACGGCUACCAAGCGACCGGACAAACUUUCGGCCAGUGCGCCAGUGCCUAUUGUUGCCCAAUCACAAAAGACAAUCUGGAGGAAGGCAGCCGCUUGCACUGCUGGGGAGAGGGUCUAGAAAAUAUAGAACUUUCCCCCAAAAUAAGAAUCUCCUCAAAAAACAGAGCAGGAGUAGAUGAUGAACCGCCGCCGACAUGUACCUGCCUUUACCUUCUCGCAUGUGCGCCCUCGAAUAUCAAUGGCGCACCGGCUUGUGCGCCCUCCUUCAAACUACCAUGGAUACACAUCCACAUAUGCAUAGGCCAUCUAGGAUUCACAAACCUGAAAUAAAAGGAGAUAUCAAAACUCGAGUGGAAGGGCAAUGAGUAGAGAUUGAAUUGGUUCAUUUUCUUCUAGAUGGACUGCAUCAGGGAUCGUACCUUGCAGUAUAUAGGAGAACAUGGAGAGGCGGCAGAGGAGGAGGAGUGGCGCUGGCAGAAGAGAUGCGGCCAUGCGGGGAAACCUGUUUUUUCUUUGGGUUUCCAUACGAAGACCUAUUUUUUUGUAAGGAGACGUACCUGUGGGAUAAUUUGCUAGGACUCUCAGGGAUUUUAUCUAACGGCUGCAGAUAUUUCAUACUGAUAUCUGAUGGUUAAUUUUAUUAGUUUUAUAUAGGUUUAGCGUGACCCUUUUUAUUUGGGUUCCAUACAAAGAACUAUUUUUCUUGUAAGGAGACGUACGUGUGGGAUAAUUUGCUAGGACUCUCUUAGUGAUUUCAUCCAACGGCUGUAGAUAUUUUAUACUGAGAUCAGAUGGUUAUUUUUGUUAGUUUUGUAGGAUUAACGUGAUUCCUCGUUUGGUGCCUCAAUUAGUAAAUAUAAGAUAUAAGAUAAGAUUGUGAGGGACUAAUUUUUUUUUGAAAGGAAAAGUUGAAACAGACACUCACUUCCAUGAACAACCGGUGGCUCCAUGCAUGCAUGCAUGAUACAUCGCACGCAGUACGCAAGCGGGCUGUUGCCAAGCUAACUAAUGGCGCCCGGCCGACAACACAGUACAGCUAGUAGAGCACUCGCUGCCAAACGCCUACGUGAGAGACCCUCGUGAGCCCAGCUAUACAACCUCCGCUUCUCCACCCAUCCUCGUUCACUUCGCAUCCGCAGCCGAAUUCCCCGGUCUCCACCGCUCAGUCCCCCGGACCGCCGGACCUCUCCUCGCCUUGCCAUGGCAGCCGCAGCACUGAGGGCGCAGCUGAACGCCCAUAUCGCCGGCAUGUACACCAAUGUGAGGCCCUUCCCCUCCCCUCUAGUCGUGUGGUAUUGGAUUUUGGCUUGGCUGGACGACUAACUUGGCCUUUGCCUUUGCUUUGGCGUGGUCGAUGUCGAUCCAGGGUGUGGUGGACGAGGAUACAUUCGAGGAGCUGCGGGACGAGGGCACCGCCACCGAGGUCUCCCGUCUCUUCAUCUACGACGCCUCCGAGAUCAUCGACGACAUCGACCUCCUGAUGUCCGCCCCCACGCCCUCUGUCAUCUCUCCCUCUGCUCUCUGUCUCGAACUGACUCAUCUUAAUGAUCUGCUCUGGAAAUCGCAGGGAGGAACCCGAAGUGGACUUUGACGAGGUGGAAGCCCUGACGCAGCAGCUCAUGCGGUGCACUACCAGGUGAUGACCAUCAUAAACCCUUUCUCUCUCUUCCACCUGUUUAUUUUUAACUCUAUGUUUGUUUGCCCGCUGCGUCAAUGUCGUGCGAUUCAGAUCUGUUUAUUGUAGUGGGCAACAGAUUCUUAUUUGUCGGUUGCACUACCCCAUAGGCGUAAUUAGAAGAAUCGAGUUUAGUUGCGUUUAGUGUAACGGAGUUACCGGUAUCCCGAUUAAUAUCAAUAUUAUGAUGAGGAUAAAUUGUUGCCCUUUUUGGAAUAUUCCUGGUAUUAAUGAUCUGCUAUUCUGUGUAUUACUAAUGGUGUUUUUUCUGGUAUUACUGAUCUGCUAUUCUAUGUAUCUCUAAUGGUGUUUUUUCUAGUUUGUCCACGGCAUAUUUGGAUGUGUCGGCAUGGGGUGUGUACCUCACGACACGGCCACACAAUUGAGGUUUGUUUCGUUUUACAGGCGUCGUAUAGCCAUAGGUAGAAGAGCUGAGUUUAGUCAUAUAUCGUGUAACGAAAUUGUUGGUAUUCUUCUCAAUGUUAAUCAAAUCGUAUAGCUUGGCGAGGGGAAUUUUUGUCGUUUUGCAAAUGUUUGUUCUACUAUCGUGUCUGUUCUUCCGGCAAUACCAUUAUUCUAGGUUGAGAAUGAAAAAAAAUGUCGUUUUAUAAGCAUGGCUGGUAUUAAUGAUCUGCAAUUCUACAUAAUGCCAAUGGCCAUUUUUUCUGUUUCACCAUUGGAACGGUGUUGUUUCUGUUCAGAUUUGUCAGGCGCAGAGUGUGUACGUCAUGGACGCCAUUUGGGUGUCGUAUAUCCAAAAUUAGAAGACCUGAUUGUAGUAGUGUCUCGUGUAGCAGAAUUGUCGGUAUUCAUGACAAUUUCAUGGUUCGGCAAGAAAAACUUUGUCGUUUUCUAAAUAUUUCUGGUACUACUGAUCUACUAUUGCACAUAGCGACAAUGAUGUUUUUUUUUCUGCUUCAUCAAACAAUUUAUGGAGUCGACAAUCAUGAUAGGAAAUGGCUCCUUGAGAAUAUUAUUGAGUUGACGUCUCAGUUUAUAAUAAGUUUGAUAAGUUCCUAAUUUCCUGCUCUGCAUUUUUUUGCAUGUUUCAGUGUUGGUGCACAGCAAGUGAACCUCGCCUGCAUGCACUUCGGCAAUUUCUAUGCCAUACAAUACAAACAAGGGUCAGAACUUAAUAGCUUAUUUAAUAUUGCUACACAAUAAUUAUUCGCAACAUUGUUUUUCAAUGUCUCUAUGUAAACCUGACAGCUCACGUUGUCUUUCUGUCAUUAUUUUCAGCUCAUACCAAUCUAACGUUGUUAAGAAGUAACCUGAUUUGCUUUUUCACUUCAUCUGCAAUCACGUUGUUGAUAUUACCCGGUUCACUAUCUGAAUAUGCUACCAUUUGAUGGUUCUCUUGUAAUUUAUUGGCUCUAUACUUUUGUUUAUAGCACAACUAAAUUCUUAUAUGGCUAGAGAUUUUUCUUUUUUGAAAUAUAGGGUUACAAUUUUUGAACCAUUUUCAUCUCAGUUCUGUUAACCUCUUCAGAAUUUGACAAUGUGGUAUUUUUGCAUUAUUUCAGGUGUCUCGUGUCACUGGCUCUUGUUAGGAAUGAGUUCUAUAUUGUGCGACAUGAGUUGGAGAUCAUGAUGCAGGUAGCACCUUAUGUGCCUAAUGUUGGAUUUUGAUACCAACUUUCCACUAGUUUCACAACCCAUAGAUUGGUCAUAUUAAGAUAGAGAAAAGGGAACAAUCUUUAAUCCUUAAUCUAAUUCUUUUGACAUUUAGAUUUGGAGCACUUAGUUCGAGGUACCGAAAAGUCUCAUUUAGCCGUUAAAUGAUUAUGUGGUAAUUUUGUCAUCAUGUUUGGUAGAUGCACAGGGUAGCUAAAAAAAGUGGGAGAAAUUCUCUGUUUCCCAGCUUAAAUUAAGCUCACCAAAUGCCCAAAUAAGAAACUAGCUAACUUGUAACAUGGCUGAUUAGUGAAACCAUGUGACUUGAGCACCAUUAUGUGCCAUAGACUUAUCUUAAUCAUUUUUCGGAAGGUACUUCUCUUAAUCGUUAACCUAUUAUUCAUCUUUUGUUGCAGCUCGAAGAGCAGAUCGCGACAUGUGGUCCUAACUCCUAAGUAGCGGCAAGUGAAGGGGGAAGAGCGUGGCCCCAUGCAAUCCCUUGCAUUAUGUGGUCCAUGUGCCUCCGAAGAUGUAGCGGUUUUCAAAGGGCGUCUGGCACUAUCGGGUGCGCGUAAAACUUAGAUGAAUAUUCUCGCGUCGGAACUUUGGGCUCGUAACCCUGUGAAAGAAAACUGUUGCCGUGUGUUGAUGUCAGUGUGAAGUCCAUAUUCUAGAGUAUCGUGGAUGUGUUGCCCCCCGCCUACAGGCUGUUUAUAAAACAUAUACUUGGUUGGUUGGUCCUCUAGUGACUUUGUUUUGCUGUUUCUUCUGUUUGUUUUUCUCUAUAAGCAAGUCUUGUUGUUGGUUGUUGUACCUAGAGUGUAGCCAAUCACCAUAUUUGGGCAUAUUAAACAUGUCGUUUCGGU